rnacentral:lncRNA from 1 species
CUUCUUUUUCUGGGUUUUUCUUUUCUUCUUUCCAAUUUUCAUUUUUUUAUUUUUUUCUUCUUCCUUUAAUGAACCCUAGCCAUUGCCACCAUCUGAGCUCUGAUCGAGCACCAUGAAAACACUUCGGCCUCCUUUUUACACCGUCAGAUUAUCACCAAUCUCCAGUAUGUGGUACAUCGUGUUAUGGUUUGCCUUACCACUGUUACAAUUGCCGAACGGAGAUCUGGAGUUCCAAAAACGAGCUCAAACAGAUAAGUCCUCAAUAAAAAACCCUAUAUUUGAAUAUGAAUUUUCUUGCUACGUUUUAUCUACUCUCUGAUGUUGAACCAAGCCACCGCCGUCAAUGGCCUCGCCUCCAGUCAAUGUGUAUUAUUGCUCUGCCUCUUGUUUCUUUUCCUUUUUUAUCAAAUGAUAAACAUGUUUGAAAACAUUAGAUUUUCCCGGGUUUGUUUUCUGGGUUUGCAAAACUGAGUUUCAAUUUUGAUUGGGAUUCCAUGUUUAUUAUAUGGGUUGUCUCUGCUUUGAUUUUGUACUGGAUUUUGAUUUGCUCUAUCGUCAAGUACUAUUGAGACAAGCUAUGGUUGCAAGGUUUCGAUUUUGAUCUUGAUUUGCAAUGUAUUAAUGACGAUCCCAAUACAAAUAAGCUCUGCUUUUUGAAUAAUUUGAAAUUGGAUUCAAAUUUUCUUGCAAUUGAGAUUUUUUAAGCUCGACUUCAUGGAGUAAACUAGAGAUUUUAAAAUAUUCAAACUUGAAUACCAUUUCAUGAACCUUAAUUUGAAAGAAAAUUGGAAACCCCAAAUUAGCUCAACUCCAAUGCCAUUUUCAGGAAAAAAAAAAGAAGGCCACUCAUCGGCGGCAAUAGAAGCAUCAACUUGGGUUGAGAGAGGAAGAAGAAAGAAGGAAAAAAAUAAAAAAUUAGGGAAAAAAGUCAAAAGAAAAAAGUUCAUUUUUUAAAUUAUGGCAUCAUCAUGACAUCAUUUAUGCCACAUCUCACAAUCUUAUUCUAACACAUGUCCUAAAAUUAAUGGCGUUAAAUUCAAGUACAGAUUUAGUUGACGGAAAAAAUUCAGGUACUAACCUGGGACAAAAAAACCAUAAGUACCAAUCUAGGAGAAGUGGAAAAAUUCGGGUACCAACCCAAUUUUAUGUAUAGUCAUAUUAACAAAUUUUAAUGUUUACAUAAUAGAAAUAUUAUAUAUUAAAUUUUUACCUGUUAUAAAUUACAUAAUAUACAAAAACAAAAAAAAAUAAAACAUUAAAAACUUAAAAAAAAAGGGUCAGCCAGGGCUAGGUUCAAGCUAAAACAUUCAUGGUCCGAGCUCGACCCAUAUUUUAAAUGGGCUUAAUUUUUUGCCUUAGCCCAUUUUUUAGACCUAAUUUUUUUGCUCAAACCCUCCUAAAUUUUGGAUGGGCUUUCGGGCUUGGACAGGUAGCUCGACUCAUAAACAGGUCUAGUAAAUAGUAUUCUAAAAUAUUCAUUAAUAUUUUACUUGCUAUAAGUUUUCUUUAUAUUUUUUCAAUUCCAUCUUUUUUCUAAUGUGACAUAACUUAUCAAAAUCUCUUGAUUAUUAACUUUCUUUUAAAUACCUAAACCUCUUUUGAAGUUUUCUUAUAGUUAUUUCUAUAUUUAAGUACUUAGACCUAUUCUAAAGUUUACUAAUCAAUUAUAUGUUGGAAAAUGAGGUUUGGAAAACGCAACAAAAAAUAAAUUUAGGGAAAAACCAGAGUUUUAAUUUUUGUUUUCCAAAACAAGAACUUGGUUGUGAUAUCUAAAGUAAUAAACAAUUAAUCAAAAUUGUACAUUUUCUAUUCAUCUAGGAUGAGUGCUCCGACCGACUAGUCUUCUCCGCUAUCCUCAAGCUCACGUCUGCCGAGUGUGGGCUCGCUUCGAAUUAGAAAAUUCUUCACAAAAAUUAUCAGUGGGGUAAUUUUGUAAUUUCUCUAAAAUUUUGGGCCAAGUUGUAAAUACAACAAAUAUCUUUAGAAAUUUUCUGAAAUACUUUCUUUAGAGAAUUUUCUCUCUACAACUUUCUCUUGAAUUCAAGUGUGUAAAAAAUAAUGACUCAAGACUCUAUAUAGGGAGAUUUUAGAGAGUUCAACUAUGAUUAAACUUAAUCAAUUUAAUAUUAAAUUAAUAUAAUAUUUAUCAAGAUACAUAUUAAAUUAAAUUUAAUAUUAAGAUAAUCACUUUAAUAUUAAAUUAAUAAAAUACUAUUAAGAUAAGUAUUAAAUUUAAUAAAAUAAUAUUACUUUUGGAAUAGUUAAUCUAAAAUCAAAUUCUCUGGUAGAGUCCCAGUAGUAGUGUAACUCUUUCACUGCUUAACAACUGAAGACCCACCACCGCUAGCCAUCGAAACGCUAUCGUCUUUGUCGUCAACAUCGCCAUGUCUGACGGUGCAGGUGUGACAUCUUCAUGACACCCCAAGCCUAUUUAGAUGCUAUCAAUUUAGUCUAGCCAUCGGUUGGACUGUUGGCCCGGUUUCAUAUACUGGGCCCAGUUUGACAGUUUUGUGUCUUGGUCUUGGUUUUGGGCUCCUGUGCCCAUUGAGCCAAUUGUCUGACUUGAAAAUUAACUUCCAUAAAUAUCAUAUUAAUUUUAAUUGAUUUAAUUAAUUUAAGUUUACUUGAUCAAAAUUAAUUUUUCCAAAAACCACUUAGAUUUUCCAAAUUAAUUUUUCAAGGAAAUUAUUUAAUCAAAUUUUUUAGUUGAAUGAUUCUCACGACCAACUAAUUUAAUUCCACAUAGAAUAAAUCGACUCUAUUAAAUUAUUCCCAAAGUUGUAGAAUUUUCUUCUGAUUCAAAUGUAAUCCGAUAGAGCUUUUUUUGAGCUAGCAGAGGGACCAAUCGGACAUAUACAAUUAGGCUUUAGUGAUUGCAAUUGUAUCUAGAAGCAUCGUUCCGAUAAAUCGCAAUUACUUAAUCAUGGAGUUAGUCCACAAGGAGUUUCAUGAUUGAAAACUCCUUAUUGUAUGCUCUUUACAAAAGCAAUUCAUCCAACUACUUUGUCCAAUGACCUCGUUAUGUGUGUGUUACCCUCAUAUGAUAUCAUUGAUUCCUUUGAGUUAAAUCCGUUCACUCAAUACAAUCCUAUUUUAUCUCAUUGUCACCAUUGUGUCCUUUUAAUGAUUAAUAUGAUCACUGUCAACAAAUGACUAUGAUAAAUUACUUGUUUGAGAACAAGCAACCUGUGGCCACGUUCUAUAUUUAUCAAUCCACACAAUCCAAUGAGAGGAUAUCGUUAACUCUUUAAUUGAGCUAUGAAUUCCAUUGUUGCUAGCAUAGUCAUGUCAUACACAAAUCAUGUACCUAGCAUACCAACUAUGGGCUCAAUCAUAUUUAGAGCAUAAAUCUCCACUUAUAUCAAAGCACAUGAGUUACAUAAGCAUUAUCAGUGGCUAACUUAGGAUUUAGGUAAAUCACACCAUGAACGUUACAAGUGAAUUAAUCCACAAACGGAUUUAGAAUUUAUUCAUUUUGGGUCCAGUCCAAUGUAUCAUUCUACUAAUGAAUACAUUUAUAUCUCUACUUGUGGAGUCAACUGCUCUGAUAGCCAAGACUAGUCAUCUCCUCAAUUGGAAUUGUAGACAACAUAAUAAUCCUUCUCAAUAUUUGAAUCAAAUGCUCACUUUAAUUCUUUUAUAGGAUUACAGACUUGUUUAGAUUAUCAACUAAAGUAAGUUUGUCUUUCUUGCAAUGUAAACGCUCUUACAAUGCCACUUAUCUCCAGUUUGAACUUAGACAAUCAACGAGCUAAUAUUUGUUUGUCACAAUUUUGUUAUUCAUGAAAAAUAUGAAAUACAUAAAUACAAAAGGCAUAAUAGUAAAAUGUGAAAUUAACUUUAUUUAUUUAUUCAUCGUUCAAAUAAAUAAAAAAUAUUUACAUGUUUACUACAAUAUGGGCACAUUUUCCAACAUUAUAUGCUUGACCUCUUUUUGAGCUCUUUCCUAUACAAUAUGAUCAUUUUGAGUGUUUGCUUUUCUCUUUUUACAAUGAUUUUUUUAUUUGAAAUUGAUUUGUUUUCCACACUUUCGUUGUGGACUAGAUUACUUUCUUUUGCAAUCAUAAGUUGUCCUACUAGGAUAUCAAUUAGUACGAGUGAUCAAUUAGUAUGAGUGCAUUUUCAGCCAUGGUAGUCGGUAUUGUACUGAUACCGGCAUGUACAUUCUGUCCUAAUUCUAAAAAUGUACCAUGUAUUCUAUUUUCUGUACUAAUAAAAUUUCAAUGUGUUUCAAGUAUUUCAUCUGUUUUGGUCAAUGUCGAUGUAUCCCAACUUGUGCCAGUUUGUACAAAAUUUUGACAUUUUAAACCUUUAUUUUUUUAUCUUAACAAUUUUAUAUUUCUAUAAUUACAUUUAACAAUUAGACUGUAAAUAUAUAUGUGAAAAAUCUUUAAAUGUAUAUAUAAUUUUUCAAUAAAUUAAAAAUUAAACUAAAAAUAUAUACAUGUAACACCUCUAACCCGUAUCCAUCACCGGAAUAGGGUUAUGGAGCAUUACCAUAAAAAUUGUAACUUAAAACAUUCAAUUCUAAACAUUUCAUAAAUCAUAGCAUAAUUCAUUCAAACACAUGCAACUCGUCCCUAAUUUGAGCCCUCGAGGCCAAAGAAACACUAUAGAAUAAUUCGGGACUAAAUCGAAAACAUUUAGAACUCAUGGAAAAAGGUAGAAACUUUCAUACUGCAGGGGUCACAUGGCCGUGUGGCCAGCCCGUGUGGACAUUUGAAGUAUGGAUAUACAAUCGUGUCCCAGCCCGUAUCCUUGCCCGUGUACCUCUCUGACUUGGGUUACACGGCCAAGCCACAUGCCCAUAUGCCAAGCCGUGUAACUCUUGAAAUGGUCUCACACGCCCGUGUACUGGGCCAACUGAUUAACUUGAAUGCCUUUCAAACCUAUAGGGGACACAUGGCCGAGACACACGCCCUUGUCUCAGGCUGUAUGGACAUGAAAUUGGCCAAAUUCAAGUCAUUUCCAUCUCCAACUCAAAUAUGUACCUACAACCAUUUUGUUCCCACAUUCAAGACUUCAAAACACACCAAUUCAUGCAUGAAAUAAUCAAUUCAAUAAAUAAAAAAAUUCAUCCAACCAAUAUGCCCACAAGGCACCUCAAUUUCAUGCAACCAAAAAUCAUCUAAACAUGUCCAAAAACUUAUCAUAAUUAAGCAUCAUAACUCGUUUUAAACUAAGCUAAUACACACCACAUGUUUGAAGUAUUCAAGCACCAACACUCUACACCAAAAAUACCUAGUUAUGUACACAAGUUCAAAUGCCAUUUACAUCUUCACAAAAAUAUCAAAAUACUAAAGAGAUUUCCUAAUACAUGCCAUUUAAACCAACUAGCAAGAACCAAAAUGACUACCAAGAUGAUGAUAGUGUGUGAGCUUUCGGGUCAAUUCCAAUCGAAGCAACGAUUCCACAAGUCCUACAAAAAUUAAAUCAAACUAAUAAGCACAAGAAGGCUUAGUAAGUUCAAUAAUAGCUUCAUUUAUUAUUAACAAAAAAUGUUCAAUUUAAUGUUAACUUUCAAUACACCGGCAUAAAGCCUGCUAGGCACAGAGCCCGAAUAACAUUACACUUCUAUUUCUUUAAAAAUAGGUAAAUGAAAUUCAAAGAUUAUCCAAUAAUGAAAUAUUCAAUACAGUUAAUAAUAAUCAUAUAAUGAACUUACAGGACUAGAUUGUAAAAAUUACGAAACACAGGAACUGUAAUAGCCCGUUUUUAGGUCAAAUCGGAACAAUGGUUUUGGGACCACAAGUCUAAAGUAAAAAUAUUUAUUUUAUUAUUUUACUAAGGUUUACAACAUGAUAUAUUAACUACGUGCAAGUUUCGUAAAGAAAUUUUACCGUUUAAUAGAUUAAUUCUGUAAAAAAGACUAAAUCGCGUAACGCGAAAAAGUUGAGUUCUAUUGUUUAAAAGUAUGAAAUAGAUAUGGUUUAUUAAUAUGGGAGUCCUUGCAUGUCAAUUAGACCUUAAAUGAUAUAGUGGAAGUUGUUGGCAAGGUAUUUUGAAAUUAUUAAAGUUCAUUAAGGUUAUUUUGGUAAAAUGUCAAUUAAUGUUAUAUUAAUAAAAGAAAGUCAAAUUUUUGUUAUAUCAUUCAUUUCUAUUGCCAAAAAUUGAGAAGAAAGAAUAGGAAACUUAGAUUCUCAUUCGGCCAAGCUUGAAUCCUUGAUUAAAGUACGUUUUUUUAUCUGUUUUUAAUGAUUUUUACGUUUUUGAGUUCAUUGUAGCUUAAUUUAGCUAGCCCGUACCUUCGUUUUUGAAACUGUUAUAGAUUUUGAGAUAUUCCAUUGUUGAAUACUUGAGUAUUUUGAAAUUUCUUGUUAGAUUAUUAAUUGUUGUUAAUAGUUAUACAAGUUUUAUAAAGUGAUUUUUGAAAAAAAUGAGAAUUAAGGAUUAAAUUGUGAAAGAUAGAAAUAUUGUGGUUAGAAAUGUGAAAUAAGUGAAAAUAUGGGCUAUUAUAAUACCAUAUAGAAUUCGGCUAAGGUGGAUUGUGGUUAAAAAUGUGUAAUUUACUAUUUUAUGCAUAAAUGACUAAAUUGUAAAAUAGUUAAAUUAUGGGGGUAAAAAUGUAAAUUUCCAUAUAUGUGAAUUAGGGACUAAAUGGAAAUGAAUAGUUACUGAAAAUAUUGAAUUUGAUAAAUUUAGAUCAAGACAAACAAAUAUCAAAACUUGAUCGGGGGAAACAAAAGAUAGACGGGUAGACGGAAGUUAACCGAGCAAAUACGCGAUAAGUUCGUAUAAUUAGAAUCGAACUUUUAUAUACUUGUAAUUGUUGAAUUGAAUGUAAUUUAUUGAAAUACUUGAAAUAUGAAUGCUUAGAAGAUACAUUGUAUUCGUUAUCGAGCCCCGUUUGAACUAUCUGAAUUCAUUGGAUACAAACGAUGUGUUAUUAAGAUUACCAUUUUGGUUGAACUCCUGCAUUUGUUGCGGCCUCACCAUAGCUUGUAACAUCCUGAAAUAGGGCCUAAAUGGAACAGUGGUUGUGAAACCAUGAAUCUGAGAUAGAAAAGUUUAUUUCGAUUAAUUUUAUAAUUUACCGAGUGAUUAGAUGCAUGUGUUAAAAUACCGAUAAGAAAUUUCAGUGAUUGCAUGUCCGAUUUGCAUAUUAGGGCUUAAUUGAAAAAGUUGAUAAAUAUGAGUUCUAAAUGCUAAGGGAUUAAAUUGAAGUGCGUAAUUGAACUAGAGGUCCUUCAAUGGUAAUUAGACCAUUAUAUUUUCAUGGACAAAAAUGGAUAUACAUAGGUAGAAAUAACUAAAAAUUUUAAUGAAGGGCAUUUUAGUAAAGUGUCAAAUAAAAGAAUUAAAAGGGGAAAAAGAUGGCAAAAAUGUGCUCAUCUUCUUCCCUAGGCCGAAUGUCAAGGUUUCUCCAUAGCUAGGGUUUGUUUCAAGCUUCCAAACUCUAUAGUAAUUGAUUCCAAGCCCCAUUUUUAAUGUUCUUUACGUUUUUUGAGUCCCGGUAACUUGAUUAAGCUUAUUCUAGCAAUAAUUUAACCUAGGGUUUAUAUUUUGAAAAAAACCCAUAGGUGAAAUGUGUUUAUUUUGAUGUUUUAUGGUAGAAUAUGAAGCUUGAAAUUGUGUUAAACAACUUUUGCUAAGCGAUUUUACGUGAAAACGAGUAAAACGACAUAAUCGGUAAAAAUACCUAAUGUUCAUAAGUACAUUUUAGAGUGAGAAUUUGAUGUUGCCAUAUAAGGGAAAAAUGAUCAGCAUGUCAUAAAACAUAAGAAAAUGGGAUGAAGUUUAAUUUUCGAGCCUUGGGGAAAAAGUGUAAAUAUGUAAAGUUUGGGGGCAAAAGUAUAAUUUUGCCAAAGUUUGAGUCAAGGACUGUUUUAAUAAAUGUGAGUAUUAAAUAAGCUAAAUUUGUUAUUAUAGAUCAAGAAGAAUGAAAUCCUAAGUUAGACUGGGGAAAGAAAAAGAUAGUGGACUAAAUCGAUAUAGUUGAUCGUAUUUUGUUUUGAGGUAAGUUUAUGGUAAAUAAAUGCAAUAUUCUAUUAUUUUAUGUUAAUGUUGUUAAUUUCCAGCAGUGUAUAUUUAUUUUACUAAAUUAUUCAAAGAAGACUUAAGCAUGAAUUGACGGAGAAGUAAUUUCAGAAAGUCCCGGUUGAACCUUAGGAAUGUGUAGGAUACAAAUGUCACGACAGUAAGGUUUAAGGAUACCAUGUAAGACCAUGCCAAGGCAUGGAAAUUGGUAAGGUUUCUAACGCAAGGAUGCCAUGUAAUACCAUGUCAAGGCAUGGCAUUGAUAAGUUACUAUAAGGCAAAUGUCUCAUGUAAGACCAUGCCAAGGCAUGGCAUUGGUGAGUUCAUAAGGUAAGGAUACUAUGUAAGACCAUGUCGAGACAUGGCAGUGGUAAGUUUCAAAAGGAUACCACGUAAAACCAUGACAAUUCAUGGCAAUGGUAAGGUACCCAUGUAUCCUUAGUAUUCCAAGUGGUUCAACGAGAAAAUUUAAAGAGAAUAUUAAGGUAAGGUGAGGUAAGACGAGUUAUACUAAAAGGGUAAGACAAGUUCAUGCCAGAAGAGCAAAGAUAAGUGUAUAAUGUUCAUGUAUGCUUGAUAAGGAAAAAGGUAAGUAAAAUUUAUUAAUAAAUUUGAUUAAGUAAGUAAGUAUUUAAGUAAGUGAGUAAGUGAAGAAGUUUAAAAUAUGUCUAUGACAAUUAAUGAAGUUGCAUUAGGUAGUAUCAUGCCAAGUAGUAAGAUAAUUCUUAUGAAUGUUGUUAUUUAUUUGCAUGCAAACUUACUAAGCUUAAUGCUUACCCCCUUUAUUUUCCUUCUUUUUAUAGUUUUUUCAAGCUAACUUGGGGAUCGUAAUGUACUUCAGAGGUUCGAGCACACUAUCACAAGGAUUAUUUUGGUAUAGCUAGACGUUUCAUUUUGAGUAUGGCAUGUAUAGAAUCAUAGCCAUUUUGUGUGUAUGAUCUUAUGAUAUGGCUAAUAAAUGGUAUGUAAAUGCUUGAUAAUGAGUAGCUAUUGGAAUGGCUAAUCAAGGACAUGUUUGGUGUUAUGUGUGCCUAAAUGCUAGUUAUUUCAUGGAAAUCAUGAAAAAGGUGAAAUUAGCUUUAAAACAGUAUUGGACGGCAGUAAUGACAUGAAUUUGAAACAUCACUAAAAAUAGUAAAAAUGGAUUUAGAUAGUGAAUGAGAUAUAUAAUUAAAUCUUAUUGACUUUAUUUUCAUAUGAAAGAAACAUAUAAAUAAAGGAGUUGUAUUGUAUGAGAUAUUUAAAUUUUGGUGAGAUAGGGUCAGAGUGAUUUCUGAAUCCCGUAUUUUGGAUUUAUAAAUUCACUAAAAAUUGUACAAAAUUAAUUAGAAGUUAUACUUUAUAUGUAUAGAUUCCUUAUUUAGUCUACUUUUAAGAAAAAUAAACUGAAUGGUUAUUUGAAUUCUGUACAUAGAGAAAAUUAAUUCGUAGUAAACAGAGCUCAGAGCAGCCAAACACUGAAACAUGGGAAAUUUUAACUAAUAAAAUGUACUAAUUGGAUAGACCAAAAAUUCUUAAACAAAUUUAGUAAGAAGAUAUAUGAGUCUAGUUUUAGAGAAAAUUUACGGAUUUAAAUUUCAAGUUUCGUAACUCGAGUUAUGAUUUAUUUAGUGACUAUGACGCAGAUGGAUAGUUUAUUUAUGAAAGAUGAGAUAAAUUGUUUUCAUUUGUUUAAGUGAUCAGAAAAUUUUUAUUGAUUCCGAUUUGUUCUCAAACCGUUUCAAUUUCAUGUUUUAGGGUCUCGAGGACCCUUUUAGGGACAUAUUUAAUGAAUGAAACUAAAUUAAUAUUAAAUGCAAAUUUUUAUGCCCCAAAUUAGUAAGCUAAGUCCGAUAACGCCUCGUGCUCAACUCCAGCGACGGUCUCAGGUAAGGGGUGUUACAUUUAUUGGUAUCAGAGCAAAAUUUUAGUUAGUUUUUAGAAUAUUUAGUAUGAGUAAGAGUCUAGCUAUACAUGCCAUACUUAUAUGUUGAUAGUGUGACGACUCCUGAUGAUAUUAAAAUGUUUUCUUUUAUAGUUUUGGUUCCCGAACAAGCUGGUGCAGAUGAUGUAGAGAGUAAUGCGCCCGCUCCCGCAGAAGGGACGGUGCCACCAGAUAGUAGUGAAAGGCCCGUUAUAGUUAGUCAGGGAGGAGGGACUCGAGAAGCCUUCUUCCAAGCUAUGAAUAAAUGGUUUGCCGAGUUCGUUCGUAUGAAUCCGGCUGUUAGACCUCCACCCCCUCAUGAUCCUCAGACCACCCAUGUAGCUCCCCCAGUCACAGGUACAGUUAUAAGAGAAAAGCCACCAGUUGAUAAAAUUAGAAAAUAAGGAGCCGAAGAGUUUCGAGCAACAAAAGAUGAUGAUGCAGAAAAGACAGAAUUUUGGCUUGAGAAUACUAUCAGAGUCUUUGAUGAGUUAUUCGGCACACCUGAGGAAUGUAUGAACUGUGUUGUAUCACUUCUUAGAGAUUCGGCCUACCAUUGGUAGAAGACACUUGUAUUAGUUGUAUCGAAAGAGAGUGUCUUGGGAUUUCUUUCAGGAGGAAUUCCGAAAAAGUACAUCGGUCAGAGGUUUGUUAACCUGAAAAGAAAAGAGUUUCUAGAGUUGUAACAGGGCAAUAUGACGGUGGCUGAAUAUGAGCGCGAGUUUGUUAGACUCAACAAUUGUGCUCGAGAGUGUGUGUCUAUAGAGGCUAUUAUGUGCAAAAGAUUUGAGGAUGGGUUUAAUGAUGAUAUCUGAUUGUCGGUUGGUGUCCUAGAAAUAAAAGAGUUUGUUGUCCUAGUUGAGAGAGCCUGUGAGGCAGAGGAGCUGUUAAAAAGAAAAGGAAAAGUUGAAAUUGAGAUGCAAGACACGAAGAAAAGACCAAUGAGCAAGUCAUUUCAGUCUACAUCCAAGAGGCCUAGAGAGUUCUCCACUAGAUCUAAUUUUUCAGCUGAAUAUUCUAGCCAAAACAGAGGCAAAAGAUUUAUGAGUCCAAAAGCUCAGACCACUUCGAUUUAUGUGUUGGCAGUGUUCAGCCUGAUAGACCAGAGUGUCCCCGAUGUGGUCGAUGUCACCUAGGUCAGUGUCGAGCAACUGAGACAGGUUGUUUCCGAUCUGGUGCACCAGACCAUUUUAUUCUAGAGUGUCUCGAGAUGAUUAAAAGAGAAGUAAUACCGAGUGUAAGAUCAGGUAACGCUCCUGUCAGAGGCAGACCACUGAGAAAUCUGAGAAUUGGGGCAAGUAAUAGAGGUGUAUCUAGAGAUUCAGCAGUGAGGCCAGAUGUUAGAGCACCUGCGAGGACCUAUGCUAUCCGUGCUCGUGAAGAGGCAUCCUCCCCCGAUGUGAUUACGGGUACAUUUUCUCUCCAUGAUAUUAGAGUUAUUGCUUUGAUUGAUCUGGGUUCGACCCAUUCAUAUGUUUGCAUGAAAUUGAUGCCUAGUAUGAGUAUGCCUAUAGAAUCUAUAGAAUUUGUGAUUAAAGUAUCGAAUCCAUUAGGCAAACAUGUAUUAGUAGAUAAAGUAUGUAGAAAUUGCCCUUUGAUGAUUAGAUGUCAUUGUUUCCUGGCCGAUCUCAUGCUAUUGCUGUUUGAUGAAUUUGAUAUGAUUCUUGGUAUGGAUUGGUUGACUACACAUGAUGUGAUAGUGAAUUGUGGAAAGAAAUUCAUUGAGUUGAAAUGUGAAAAUGGUGAAAUUCUUCGGAUUAAUUCAGAAGAGUCAGAUAGUUCAUUUGCCAUGAUUUCUGUUAUGUCUGCUCAGAAAUGUUUGAGAAAAGGGUAUGAAGCUUAUCUUGCUUUUGUGUUGAACACUAAAGAUCUAGAAUUGAAAAUUGAAUCAGUGCCUAUGGUAUGUAAGUUUCCCGAUGUGUUCCCAGAAGAACUACUAGGUUUGCCUCCUGUUAGAGAAGUUGAGUUUGGUAUUGAGUUGAUUCCAGGUACCACACCUAUUUCUAUUUCUCCUUAUAGAAUGGCCCCAUUGGAAUUGAAAGAAUUGAAAACUCAGUUGCAGGAAUUAACAUAUAAAGGCUUUGCAAGACCCAGUAGUUCACCAUGAGGUACACCAGUGCUAUUUGUGAAAAAGAAAGAUGGAUCGAUGAGAUUGUGCAUAGAUUAUUGAUAGCUUAACAAAGUAACAGUAAAGAACAAGUAUCCACUGCCUAGAAUUGAUGAUUUGUUUGAUCAAUUGAAGGGAGCGACUGUGUUCUCCAAGAUAGAUUUGAGAUCCGGAUAUUAUCAGUUGUGAGUUAAAGAGUCAGAUGUCCCAAAGAUUACUUUUCAGACUAGGUAUGGUCAUUAUGCGUUCCUUGUGAUGCCAUUUGGCUUAACUAAUGCUCUUGCCAUUUUCAUGGACUUAAUGAACCAAAUUUUUAGACCGUACUUGGAUAAGUUUGUAGUUGUGUUCAUUGAUGAUAUCUUGAUUUAUUCUCAUGAUGAGACUGAGCAUGCAGAGCAUUUGAGAACAGUUUUACAGAUUCUGAGAGAUAAUCAGUUGUAUGCCAAGUUCAGCAAAAGUGAGUUCUGGUUACGAGAAGUUAGUUUUCUUUGACAUAUUGUCUCAGGUGAAGGUAUCAGGGUUGAUCCGAGUAAGAUUUCAGCCAUUGUUGAUUGGAAGCCUCCUAGAAAUGUACCAGAAGUUAGAAGUUUUCUUAGUCUUGCCAGAUAUUAUAGAUGAUUUGUAGAGGGAUUUUUCAUGAUAGCUAUCUCGUUGACAAGAUUGCUACGAAAGGAUGUCAAGUUUGAAUGGACUGAGAAGUGUCAACAGAGUUUUGACAAGUUAAAGGCAUUGUUGACUGAAGCUCCUAUUUUAGUACAACUAGAACCAGGUAAGGAGUUUGUGAUUUACAAUGAUUUGUCCUUGAAUGGACUUGGUUGUGUACUUAUGCAGGAAGGAAAGGUAAUUGCUUAUGCCUCUAGACAGCUAAAGCCACAUGAGAAUAACUAUCCGACACAUGAUUUAGAGUUAGCUGCCAUUGUUUUUUCGCUGAAGAUCUGGAGACAUCAUUUGUACGGUGAGAAGUGUCGAAUAUUCACUGAUCACAAAAGUUUAAAAUAUUUGAUGACUCAAAAAGAUUUGAACUUGAGGCAAAGAAGAUGGCUAGAGUUGAUUAAAUAUUAUGAGCUAGUGAUCAAUUAUCACCCAGGUAAGGCAAACGUUGUUGUUGAUGCUUUGAGUAGGAAAUCUUUGUUUGCAUUAAGAGCUUUGAACACUAGUCUAGCCUUAUCAGAUGAUGGUUUUAUCUUAGCUGAGUUGAGAGCUAAACCGAUGUUUCUUGAAGAAACUUGUGAAGCUCAGAAAAAUGACAGUGAGUUGCUAGCCAAAAGAGCUCAGUGUGAGUCGGAUAUAGAGUCAGAUUUUUAGAUCAGUUCUGACGGUUGUUUGAUGUUCAAAGACAUGGUAUGUGUACCAAAGAAUGAUGAGCUUAUUCGAAAGAUCUUACAGGAAGCACAUAGCAGUUCUUUGUCUAUUCAUCCAGGUAGUACGAAGAAGUAUAAUGAUUUGAAGAAAAUGUACUGGUAGCUAGGAAUGAAAAGGGACAUUUCAGAGUUUGUUUCUAGAUGCUUGAUCUAUCAGCAGGUAAAAGCCGAACAUCAGGUACCUUCAGGUUUAUUGCAGCCUGUGCUAGUCCCUGAGUGGAAAUGAGACAUAGUUACUAUGGAUUUUGUGACAGGAUUGCCGUUGACACCGAGAAAGAAAGAUGCAGUAUGGGUUGUUAUUGAUAAGUUAAUGAAGUCGGCUCAUUUUAUCCCAGUUCGUAUGGAUUAUUCACUUGACAAGUUGGUCGAGUUGUAUAUUUCAGAGAUAGCCAGACCUCACAGGGUACCAGUAUCGAUCAUUUCAGACAGAGAUCUGAGAUUUGCUUCACGGUUUUUAAAGAAGUUACAAGAAGCUUUGGGCACAAAGUUGAGUUUUACUAUAGCUUUCCAUCCUCAGACCGAUGGUCAGUCAAAGAGAGUUAUUCAGGUACUUGAAGAUAUGUUUAGAUGCUGUGUACUGGAAUUUCAAGGCAGUUGGGAAAAAUACUUACCAUUAGUAGAGUUUGCCUACAAUAAUAGUUAUCAAUCGAGUUUGAAGAUGGCACCUUAUGAAGCUUUGUGCGGACAUAAAUGUCGCACACCUUUGUAUUGGACAGAGCUUAAGGAAAAUCAGAUUUACGGGGUUGAUCUAGUUAAAGAAACAAAAGUGAAAGUAAAAGUCAUCAGAGAUUGCUUGAAAGUAGCUUCAGAUAGACAGAAGUCGUAUGCAGAUUUGAAGAGAAAAGAUAUUGAUUAUCAAGUUGGUGACAAAGUUUUUUUGAAAGUAUCCCCGUGGAAGAAAGUUCUCAGAUUUGACAAGAAAGGCAAACUAAGUCCACGUCUUAUUGGACCAUUUAAAAUGAUUGAGAGAGUCAGACCAUUAGCAUCUCGGUUAGCUUUGUCGAUUGAGUUAGAGAAGAUUCAUGAUGUAUUUCAUGUGUCUAUGCUACGUCGUUAUCGUUCAGACCCGUCACAUGUGAUUUCUCAGACAGAGGUUGAGAUUCAGCGAGACAUGACUUACGGUAAAGAACCAGUAAAGAUUCUAGCUCGAGAGGUAAAGCAAUUAAGGAACAAAAGUAUUACACUUGUGAAAGUAUUAUGGAAUAGAUAUGGGGUAGGCAAGGCUACAUAGAAGCCCGAAGAGGCUAUGCGAAAACAAUACCUAAAUCUCUUCAUAGGUAAGAUUUUCGGGGAUAAAAUCACUAAAGGGGGAAAAAUGUAACAUCCCGAAAUAGGGUCUAAACAGAACAGUGGUUGCAAAACCACAAAUUCAAGAUAGAAAAGUUUAUUGCGAUUAAUUUUAUGAUUUACCGAGUGAUUAGAUGCAUGUGUUAGAAUACUGAUAAGAAAUUUUAAUGAUUGCAUGUCCGAAUUUCAUAUUAGGGCUUAAUUGUAAAAGUUUAUAAAUAUGAGUUCUAAAUGCUAAGGGAUUAAAUUGAAGUGCAUAAUUGAAGUAGAGGUCCUUCAAUGGUAAUUAGACCAUUUAAAAAUUUUAAUGAAUGGCAUUUUAGUAAAGUGUCAAAUAAAAGAAUUAAAAGGGGAAAAAGAUGGCAAAAAUGUGCUCAUCUUCUUCCCUAGGCUGAAUGUCAAGGGUUCUCCAUAGCUAAGGUUUGUUUCAACCUUCCAAACUCCAUAGUAACUGAUUCCAUGCCCCAUUUUUAAUGUUCUUUACGUUUUUUGAGUCCCGGUAACUUGAUUAAGCUUAUUCUAGCAAUAAUUUAACCUAGGGUUUAUAUUUUGAAAAAAACCCAUAGGUGAAAUGUGUUUAUUUUGAUGUUUUAUGGUAGAAUAUGAAGCUUGAAAUUGUGUUAAACAACUUUUGCUAAGCGAUUUUACGUGAAAACGAGUAAAACGACAUAAUCGGUAAAAAUACCUAAUGUUCAUAAGUAUAUUUUAGAGUGAGAAUUUCAUGUUGCCAUAUAAGGGGAAAAUGAUCAGCAUGUCAUAAAACAUAAGAAAAUGGGAUGAAGUUUAAUUUUCGAGCCUUGGGGAAAAAGUGUAAAUAUGUAAAAGUUUAGGGGCAAAAGUAUAAUUUUGCCAAAGUUUGAGUCAAGGACUGUUUUAAUAAAUGUGAGUAUUAAAUAAGCUAAAUUUGUUAUUAUAGAUCAAGAAGAAUGAAAUCCUAAGUUAGACUGGGGAAAGAAAAAGAUAGUGGACUAAAUCGAUAUAGUUGAUCGUAUUUUGUUUCGAGGUAAGUUUAUGGUAAAUAAAUGCAAUAUUCUAUUAUUUUAUGUUAAUGUUGUUAAUUUCCAGCAUGUGUAUAUUUAUUUUACUAAAUUAUUCAAAGAAGACUUAAGCAUGAAUUGACGGAGAAGUAAUUUCAGAAAGUCCCGGUUGAACCUUAGGAAUGUGUAGGAUACAAAUGUCACGACAGGAGGGUUUAAGGAUACCAUGUAAGACCAUGCCAAGGCAUGGCAAUUGGUAAGGUUUCUAACGCAAGGAUGCCAUGUAAUACCAUGUCAAGACAUGGCAUUGAUAAGUUACUAUAAGGCAAAUGUCUCAUGUAAGACCAUACCAAGGCAUGGCAUUGGUGAGUUCAUAAGGUAAAGGUCUCAUGUAAGACCAUACAAAUGCAUGGCAUUGGUGAGUUCAUAAGGCAAGGAUACCAUGUAUGACCAUGUCGAGACAUGACAAUGGUAAGUUUCAAAAGGAUACCACGUAAGACCAUGAAAAUUCAUGGAAAUGGUAACGUACCCGUGUAUCCUUAGUAUUCCAAGUGGUUCAAUGGGAAAAUUUAAAGCGAAUAUCAAGGUAAGGUAAGGUAAGACAAGUUAUACUAAAAAGGUAAGACAAGUUCAUGCUAGAAGAGCAAAGGUAAGUAUAUAAUGUUCAUGUAUGCUUGAUAAGGAAAAAUGUAAGUAAAAUGUAUUAAUAAAUUUGAUUAAGUAAGUAAGUAUUUAAGUAAGUGAGUAAGUGAAGAAGUUUAAAAUAUGUCUAUGACAAUUAAUGAAGUUGUAUUAAGUAGUAUCAUGCCAAGUAGUAAGAUAAUUCUUAUGAAUGUUGUUGUUUAUUUGCAUGCAAACUUACUAAGAUUAAUGCUUACCCCCUUUAUUUUCCUUCUUUUUAUAGUUUUGUCAAGCUAACUUGGGGAUCGUAAAGUACGUCGGAGGUCUGGGCACACUAUCACAAGGAUUAUUUUGGUAUAGCUAAAUGUUUCAUUUUAAGUAUGGCAUGUAUAGCAUCAUAGCCAUUUUGUGUGUAUGAUCUUAUGAUAUGGCUAAUGAAUGGUAUGUAAAUGCUUAAUAAUUAUUAGCUAUUGGAAUGGUUAAUCAAUGACAUGUUUAGUGUUAUGUAUGCCUAAAUGUUAGUUAUUCCAUGGAAAUCAUGAAAAAGGUGAAAUUAGCUUUAAACAAGUAUCAGACAGCAGUAAUGACGUGAAUUUGAAAAAUCACUAAAAAUAGUAGAAAUGGAUUUAGAUAGUGAAUGAGGUAUAUAAUUAAAUAAUAUUAAUUCUAUUUUCAUAUGAAAGAAACUGAGUAAAUAAAGGAGUUGUAUUUUAUGAGAUAUUUAAAUUUUGGUGAGACAGGGUCAGAGUGAUUUCUGAAUCCCAUAUUCUGAAUUUAGAAAUUCACUAAAAAUUGUACAAAAAUAAUUAGAAGUUAUACUUUAUAUUUAUAGAUUCCUUAUUGAGUAUACUUUUAAGAGAAAUAAACGAAAUGGUUAUUUCAAUUCUGUAUAGGGAGAAAAUUAAUUCGUAGUGAAUAGUUCAGAGCAGCCCAACAUUGAAACAAGGGAAACUUUAACUAAUAAACUGUACUAAUUGGAUAGACCAAAAAAUCUGAAACAAAUUUAGUAAGAAGAUAUAUGAGUCUAGUUUUAGAUAAAAUUUAUGGAUUUGAAUUUCAAGUUUCGUAACUCGAGUUAUGAUUUAUUUAGUGACUAUGAUGCAGAUGGACAGUUUAUUUAUGAAAGAUGGAAUAAAUUGUUUUGAUUUGUUUAAGUGAUCAGAAAAUUUUUAUUGAUUCCGGUUUGUUCCCGAACAAUUUCAAUUUCAUGUUUUAGGGUCUCGAGGACCCUUUUUAGGGACAUAUUGAAUGAAUUAAACUAAAUUAAUUUGAAAAGAAAAUUUUUAUGCCCCGAAUUAGUAUGCUAAGUCUGAUAAUGCUUCGUGCUCGACUCCGGCGACGGUCUCGGGUAAGGGGUGUUACAUAGCUCGUAAGAGCUUACUGUUUCAGCUCGUUGGAGCUUAUUGUUCAGCAUAUUAGAGCUUACCUUGUCAGCUCAAUAGAGAUUACUGUUCAGCUCGAAGGAGCUUACCGACCAUGACUCGAAAGAGCAUGUAUGACGAUGAAUUUACAGAUUAUUGACAUUGUUCACUCGAUUAUCCUUUGAAGUUCUAAUAGGUUCAAUGGGCUUAAAUAUUGGUUAUUUGGAUAUGUUAUAGGUUAUAAGUGCUAAAUAUUUGAUAUGUGACUUUAGAAUUGAUGCAAAGUAAAGUACUAAUACAUAGUUUUAUGUAUUUGUUAAAUGACUAACAUGUGAUGGAUACUUGUGAUUAGGUGAUGGUUAAAUUGAAUUGUUGGCUUUUUUAUUUAUUGCUUGAUAGUUUAUAAAUGGUAAGUUUAAAUGUCUAAAUUAUACGGGCUUAAUAAACUAUAAGCUUACUUUGUUUCAUUUUCUAUGUCUUAUAGGGUUCGUUAGCUCGCUCAUUUCGGAUAAGUCAGAGUUGCACGUCACACUAUCCAAUUUUCAAUUGGUAUUUUGAACUUAUGUAAAUAUGACAUGUAUAGGCUAGUUUGAAGAUAAUAGUUAUUUUUUGGUAUCAUGGUUUAAGAAUGAAAUUGUAUAUAAGUUAAGCCAUGUGAUUUGGUUUAUUUUGGUAUCAUAUUUCCAUUUCAUAUAUGAGCUUAAUGGUGUAUGUUUUGGUAUGGUAAUAUUUGGAUGAAAUUAUGCAAAUGAAGUCUUGAUAUAUUGAUGUUAGAUGAAUGAAUUGUAUAUGUGGUUAAACAUGGAUUUGUAUUUGUAAAUGAUAAGCUUGGUUAUGGUUUAUAAUGUAUAUUGAAUUGGUUAUUUUUUUGUUUCCAAUUGAGUUGCAUAAUUGUGGUCUAAUAUGAAUGUAAGUGCUUAUGUUUUAGGGUGGCAAAUUGGCUUUUCAAAUGGCCUAUUUUUGUCCACACGGGCGAAGACACGGGCGUGUGUCUCAGUCGUGUGUAACACACAGUCAUGUUACACGGUCGUGUGUCCCCUGGGGUACCCUACGAAUUAAAGUCAGUAUACCCUACAGUUUUGACAUGUCCUAAACACACAGGCGUGUCUAUUGGUUGUGUGUGGCACACGAGCAUGUGGUCGGCGUGUGACCCAAGUUAGCUUUGACCAUGGCCAAGGCACACGGGCGUGUAUCUGGCUGUGUGGUGCAAGUCAGUAUGUAUGCUCUGUUUUUCCACGACUUAAACACAUGGGUGUGUCUAAUGUCGUGUGAAGCACACGGCCUGUUCACAUAGGCGUGUGACAUUUGAAAUGUUGAAAAUUUUAUAAGUUUCUAAAAUUUUUAGUUGUUACCAAUUUAGUCCCAAUGCAUAAUUAAGACUUCGUAUGAUUGAUUUAAGAAUAUUUUGAAUGUGAAUGAUUGAUGGUUACUGAAAUGUGAUGAGAUUUGUUAAAUGAAUGUUUUGAAUUGAGUUACAGGUCUGGUAAUGCCUUUUAACCAAUUCUGGCAACGGUUACAGGUUAGGGGUGUUACAGGAACUACUCUGAUUUUUGGCGAUCGUCAAUCCGUUCAUGAUCUAAAACAAUAAUUUCAUUCAAUUAAGUGCUUCUAGAUAUCAAUUUAAUCCAUAAUUUAUUUAUAUGAGAAAUUACUAUUUUACCCCUAGUAUUUUAACUUUUCACAAUCUAAAACAAAACAUUCUAAUCCUCCAUUCCAACUAACCAAGUUUAUCAAAGACUUAUAUCAACUCAAAGAAGCCCUUAUUUCAUAAAUUUAACACAUAUUCUUUUCCAUUUUUACAAAUCAAUCCCUAAAUACAAAUUUCAUUAAAAUUCACUUUACAAAACUUGUUUAUUCCUCAACAAAGAUUCAUUAUUAAACAUAAAACAUCAAAAAUCACUUAAGAAAAAUCAUGGCAUAACCCUUAAUCUAUAACAAUUUUAUGAAUUGGUCCCCGGGCUAGUUAAAUUAAGCUAUAAUGACUUCAAAAACAUAGAAAUCAUUAAAAACUAGAUAGAAAUUAAUUACAUGCAAGCAAUGAGAUGUAACCGAAUGUUCAACGCUCAAAAGUGGUGCUUUGUUCUUGUAUUUUCGGUGGUGUUUUACAACAAAGAAGAUGAUAUCUUCUUUUACAUUAUUUUACUUCCUUUAUUUAUUAAUUUACAAAAUCAACCUUAGUAAUUAACCUUUAAAAUACUUAAUAAGAUGUCUAUAUUUGUCCACUCAUAAUAAUAAUGGGUUAUUUAUCACAUAAAUCCCUCGACCAAAUAAUUUCAUAGCCAUUCGGUACCUUUAACUUAUAGAACUCUAGUUUUGCAUCUUUUACGAUUUAAUCCUUUUCACCAAAUUAAACAUGCAAAUGAUAAAAUUUCUUAACGAAAUUUUUAUUCGACCUUGGUAAUAUUUCGUAGACACUAAAGUAGUAAAAACAUAAAUUUUUUGCGUCAGAUUUGUGGUCCCGAAACCAUUGUUCCAAUUUCACUGAAAACAGGCUGUUACAACUCUCCCCCUUAAAGGAAUUUUUGUCCCCGAAAAUCUUACCAGAAAAUAGGUUUGGGUACAGUGAUUUCAUCAAUUCUUCUUUCUCUCACAUAGCCUCUUCAACCUUGUGACGAUUCCAGAAAAUUUAACAACAGUACCUUUUUGUUCUGGAGUUCUUUUACUUCAUGCGAUAAAAUCUUGAAUGGUUCUUCAAAAUACGACAAAUUAGGCUGAAUCUCAACCUUACAAGGGUUUAUAAUAUGUGAGGGAUCAGACCUAUAACGUUUUAGCAUAGAAACAUGAAAAACAUUAUGGAUCUUUUCAAGCUCCGAGGGUAAAGCCAACUUGUACGCCAUAGGACCAACUCUUUCAAUUAUCACGUACGGCUCGACAAACCUCAGACCCAACUUUCCUUUUUUUACCAAAACGUAGUAUCUUUUUCAGGGAGAUACUUUUAAAAACACUCAAUCACCCACAGUAAACUCAAUAUUCUUACGCUUCAAAUCUGCGUAUGAUUUCUAAUGAUCCAUUGCGGCAUUCAAGCUAUUCCGAAUGGUCCUGACUUUAUCUUCAGUAUCCCGAAUUAAAUCAUCUCCUUCAAGCUUCCUCUCACUCAACUCUGACAAACAUAACAGACUCCUACAUUUACACCCAUAAAGAGCUUCAUACGGUGCCAUGUUCAAGCUCACUUGGUAGCUGUUAUUGUAAGCAAACUCAACUAAAGACAAAAUUUUCUCCCAGCUACCCUCAAACUCAAUAAUGCAACACUGAAGCAUGUCUUCUAAAAUUUGAAUCAUUCAUUCAGUUUGACCGUUCGUUUGAGGAUGGAAACCUGUACUAAACUUCAAUUUUGUACCCAACACCUCGUGCAAUUCACCCCAAAAUCUUGAGGUAAACCUCGUAUCACGAUCUAAAAUUAUGAAUAAUGGAACACCAUGAAAUCUAACAAUCUCAUUAACAUAGAGUUCGGCUAAUUUUUCCAACAAAUAAUCGAUCCGUACAGGUAUGAAAUGUGCAGAUUUCAUUAGUCGAUCUACAAUAAUCCAAAUUGCAUCUUUCUUUCUCGACGUUAACGACAAUCCUAUGAUGAAAUCCAUUGUAACUUGGUCCCAUUUCCACUCCGGAAUCAUGACCAAUUACAAUAACCCAGAUGAAACUUGGUGCUCAGCUUUUACUUGUUAAAACACCAGACAUUUUGAUACGAAAUAAAAAAUUUCUUGUUUCAUUCUAGGCCAAAAAUAAAACUGUUUCAAAUCAGCAUACAUCUUCGAACUUCCCGGAUGGAUAGAGUACACACUACUAUGAGCUUCUUUUAAACAAAUUUUUCUUAAGUUGCAGAUCAUCAAGUACACAUAACCUUUUUCAAAAAUACAAAUUUCCAUCAUCAUAAAUGUUACACUCAAUUUUUGACCAAUCUCAACCAUCUUUCGUUUGGCCACUAACUUCAAAUCAACAAGCUGUAAUUCUCGUAUAUUUUGUAAAAACAAGCUUGAGCUCGGCUAAGAUAGAACCAUCGCACUUCAUCUGUAAUUCAGAAUUCAUUGCUCAAAAGGUGAAAAGAGAUUUACGGCUCAAAGCGUCAGCAACCACAUUUGCUUUUCCAAAAUGAUAAUCAAUCACAAGUUCGUAAUCCUUUAACAAUUCUAACCAUCUAUGCUGUCUCAGAUUAAAUUCUUUUUGGGUCAUUAAAUAUUUCAAGCUCUUGUGAUCAGUAUACACAUAGCACUUUUCUCCAUACAAAUAAUGACGCCAAAUUUUUAAAGCAAACACAAUCGCUGCUAAUUCUAGAUCAUGCGUCGAAUAAUUCUUUUCAUGAACUUUCGGUUGCUGAGAGGCAUACGCGAUGGCUUUUCCUUCUUGCAUUAAGACACACCCCAAGCCAUUCAAAAAGGCAUCACUAUAAACAACAAAUUCCUUCCCCGUUUCAGGUUGCGUUAACACUGUAACUUCUGCCAAUAAAAUUUUUAAUCUUUCGAAGCUUUGCUAACACUUAUCCCACCAAACGAAACAUACAUCUUUUUGCAAUAGUUUCGUCAUAGGUGAAGCUAUAAUCAAAAAAUUCUUCACAAAACAACGAUAGUGUAACACCCCGAACCCGAGACCGUCACCGGAGUCGAACACGAGGUGUUAACAGACUUUAAACCACUUAUAAAAAAUUUUCCCAGACACUGCCAAUCUGCGUACUAGUCGCUUAAAAAAUCAUAUCUUGAGUUCAGAAACUCAGAAUCCAGUUCCGUAAAUUUUCCCUGAAACUAGACUCAAAUUCCCAUCUACAUAUUUUUUCUAGAAUUUUUGGUUAGGCCAAUUAGUAUAGUUUAUUAGUCAAAGUCUCCCAUGUUACAGGGAUCGACUACACUGACCUUUGCGCAUUACGACUUAGAUAUCUCCCUGUACAGGGCUUCAAUACUGAUGUCGUUUGUUUCUAUAGAAACUAGACUCAAAGAGGAAUCUAUACAUAUAUGGCAUGACUCCUAAUUAUCUCCGGUUAAUUUAUAAUGAAUUUCCAAAGUCGAAACAGGGAAUCCAGAAACCGUUCUGGCCCUGUCUUACGAGAACCUGAAUAUCUCUUAACAUACUAUCCAUAUGAUCGUUUCGUUACUUUCCUAUGAAAAUAGAUUCAUCAAGGUUCGUUUACAUAAUUUAUUCACUAUUUAAUUCCCUUCCUACUAUUUUUAGUGAUUUUCCAAAUCUACAUCACUGCUGCUGUCAGCAUCUGCCUUUAAGGUAGACUUUACCUAUUUCAUAGUUUCCAUGAUUCAACUAGCCCUUUUAGCAUAAAUAGCACAUACGAAACAUACCUUAAUGUUGGGAUGUUUCAAGCGUAUUAACUGAAAUUUUUACAGCAAGAUCAUUCAUUCCCAAAUCACGUACCUUCGGAAUUUAACCGGAUAUAGCUACUCGUUCAAAUGCCUUCGGGACAUAGCCCGGUUAUAGUAACUCGCACAAAUGCCUUCGGGACUUAACCCGGAUUUAGUAACUCGCACAAAUGCCUUCGGGCUUAGCCCGAAAUUAGUAUCUCGCACAAAUGCCUUCGGAUCUUAGUCCGAAUAUGGUCACUUAGCACAAAGCCUUCGGGACUUAGCCCGGACAUCAUUCAAAUAACCAUGCACAUUUAACAAUAAAUCAUGGCACAUUCGUAUUUCGUUUUCGUUAGCAAAACUCAAACACAAGACACUUAUCAUUCUUGCAAUUUCGGCUCAAUAGCCACACACAAAGAGCAUGAUUUUGAUUUGCUUAAAACAUGAUCUAAUCAAAUCAUAAUUUAAGCUCUUUUACUCAAGAACUUACCUCGGAUGUUGUCGAACGAUUCCGAUAGCUAUUCGACCACUUUUUCCUUCCCUUUAUCGGAUUUAGUUCCCCUUUGCUCUUGAGCUUAAUUAAACAAAUAAAUUGAUUUAAUCAUUUGAGCAUCGAAAAGAGGAACACAAGGCACUUAGCCCAUAUUUAUACAUUAGACAUUAAAGUCACAUAUGUACGGAAUCAUGAAUCAAACUCAACAUUUUAGCUAAUUUUCCCCCUUGGCCGAAUUUUCUAAGCCAAGACAAAAGCAUCAAUAUGCUUGCCUCUAACCGAAUACAUGCAACACCAAUCUCCUUCCUAUGGCCGAAUAUGCAUGUCUAUGUUGGGGCCGAUUGCAACACUUAAUACAUUCUACAAGUAUGGUCACUUGUAUUGACUAAACACCAUUUUGUUUCAAGUUCAAAACUUGGCUAAUACACACAUAUAUACACUAGUAAAGCAUCCUCUCCCUUUCCAUCAAUUUAACACAUGCAUUACUCAUUAAUAUACAAAAAUUAUAUUCGGCCUUAGCACACAACUUGCUAGCCGAUUCUUCUCCAUCUAGCAACCAAUGCACAUAUGUGCUCACUCAAAAAUGCUAAAAAGAAGAUUCAAGAAUCAUCAAUCCACCAUCACAUGCAUCAUUAACAAGCUUCAUAUUUAGCAUGCAAUGGCAUUAACACAAAAUCCACCUAGGCCGAAUAUCAUCCCCAUGACAUAGCAAAGAUUUGAACCAUGGGCUAAUUAGAACUCAAGCUAGCAACUAAAAACAUGCAUGAAUCUCAUGGCACAACCUCAAACAUACCUUGAUCUAGAUACAAGUAUGGCCAAACCUCCUCCUAAUCCUCUUCCAAACCAAACAUGAAGCAAGAACUCCGUCCUCCUUCCUUAGAAUUUUCGGCCAAAAGAAGAUGAAAAAGGAUGAACAAAAUUUUUCUUUUCUUUUCUUUAACUCACGGCAAUGGGGGGGGCAUGGAUGAGACCAUUCUCUUUUUUUUUUCAUCACUCUUCCCUUUCAUUAUUUAAUUACCAUGCUCAUUAUUUUAUUGUUUCCACCCAUGAUGCACCAACACAACAUGUCUAUGACAUGUCUUGCCCAUCACACUUUGUCUACCAUACUUGUCAUGGCCGGCCACUACUAAUAGAGGGGGAAAUUGACAUGCAAGUCCCCCCUUUUUCAACAUGCACUAAUCGGUCCUUAUGCUUUGACCUAUCACAUUUCAAAAUUUUCUCACAUAAGUCCUAUUUACUAAAACUCACAUGCAAUCGACUAAAUCGAAGCUUGAAAUUUUCACACAUUCAUAAUUACAUAUUCUAGAUAAUAAAUAUCACAUUCGAACAUUUCGGUGACUCGGUUUAGCGGUCCCGAAACCACUUCCCGACUAGGGUCAAUUUUGGGCUGUCACAACUCUCCCCCACUUAAGAAAUUUUCGUCCCCGAAAAUCUUACCGGUAAAUAGGUUUGGGUAUCGUUCUUUCAUCGAGCUCUCGAUUUCCCAAGUAGCUUCCUCGAUCCCGUGUUUGAGCCAUAACACCUUAACUAACGGAACCCUUUUGUUUCGCAACUCUUUCACUUCACGAGCUAGGAUACGAAUCGGUUCUUCUUCAUAACUCAAGUCAGAUUGAAUUUCAACUUCUGAGGGAUUAAUCACAUGUGACGGAUCGGAUCUAUAACGUCGAAGCAUCGAAACAUGAAAGACAUCGUGAAUCUUUUCAAGUUCAGGGGGCAAAAUCAAUCUAUACGCAACCGGACCAACUCGUUCGGAGAUUUCGUACGGCCCAAUGAAUCUCGGGCUCAACUUGCCCUUACGGCCAAAUCUGAGUACCUUUUUCCAAGGCGAAACUUUAAGAAACACUUUAUCUCCCACCUGAUAUUCAAUGUCUUUUCGUUUCAAAUCCGCAUACGAUUUUUGACGAUCUGUGGCUGCCUUCAGACUUUCACGGAUUACCUUUACUUUCUGUUCGGCAUCUUUAAUCAAAUCAACUCCGAAAAUUUUACUUUCACCGAGCUCUGUCCAAAACAAUGGUGUACGGCAUUUACGACCGUACAAAGCCUCGUAAGGUGCCAUCUUAAUACUUGAUUGAAAACUAUUGUUGUAAGCGAAUUCAAUCAAAGGUAAAUACCGUUCCCAUGAACUACUGAACUCGAGGAUGCAACAUCUCAACAUAUCCUCAAGUAUCUGAAUUAUCCGCUCGGAUUGACCAUCGGUUUGGGGGUGAAAAGCAGUGCUAAAAUGCAGCUUGGUACCCAAAGCUUCUUGCAAUUUCUUCCAAAAUCGUGAGGUGAAUCUCGGAUCUCUAUCCGACACGAUAGAAAUAGGUACCCCGUGUAAUCUCACAAUCUGAGAAACGUACAAUUCAGCUAGUUUAUCAAAUGAAAAAUCCGUACGCACGGGGAUAAAGUGAGCCGACUUAGUCAGUCUAUCGACAACAACCCAAAUCGCAUCUUUCUUACUUGCUGACAAUGGCAGUCUGGACACAAAGUCCAUUGUGACUCGAUCCCAUUUCCACUCGGGUAUCAUGAUCGGCUGAAGUAAUCCUGAAGGCACUUGAUGUUCUCCUUUCACUUGUUGACAUAUUAAACAUCUCGAAACAAAGUCGGAGAUGUCUCGUUUCAUACCAUGCCACCAAAACCGACGUUUCAAAUCGUUGUACAUUUUCGUACUCCCCGGGUGAAUAGACAUUCGGCUACAAUGGGCUUCGUUUAGAAUCAUCGAAAUGAGUUCCGAAUUCCUUGGAACACACAAACGACUUCUGAACCUCAAACAAUCAUCAUCAUCAAUUUGAAACUCCGAUUCCUUGUUCGGAACACACUCAGCCCAUUUUGCAACCAAUUCAUCAUCAACUUUCUGGGCUUCACGAAUUUGAUGAAUCAAUAAUGGUUUGGCUUUUAAUUCAGCUACUAACACAUUGUCGGGUAGAACAGACAAGUGCACAUUCAUCGCUCGUAAAGCAAACAAUGAUUUCCGGCUUAAGGCGUCUGUAACCACAUUAGCCUUUCCCGGGUGGUAAUCAAUGACAAGCUCGUAAUCUUUCAACAACUCAAGCCAACGUCUUUGUCGCAGAUUUAAGUCUCUUUGAGUCAUCAAAUAUUUGAGACUUUUGUGAUCCGAAAAUACAUGGCACUUUUCACCAAAUAAGUAAUGUCGCCAUAUUUUUAAAGCAAAUACGAUGGCAGCUAGUUCAAGAUCAUGGGUCGGAUAAUUUUUCUCAUGUGGCUUUAAUUGUCUCGACGCAUAGGCCACCACUCGACCUUCUUGCAUCAAUACGCAACCCAACCCAAGUAGGGAUGCGUCACUAUAAAUGACAAACUCUUUGCCUGAUUCGGGUUGCACUAAAAUUGGAGCUUCAGUCAAAUAAGUUUUCAGUUGAUCGAAACUUUUCUGACAUUUCUCCGUCCAUUCGAACUUAACAUCCUUUUGAAGUAGCUUCGUCAUUGGUGUGGCUAUCAUCGAGAAACCUUUGACAAAUCGUCGGUAAUAACUGGCGAGUCCCAAAAAGCUCCGAACCUCAGUAAUAUUUCUCGGAGGUUUCCAGUUAAGUAUGGCUGAAAUUUUGUUUGGGUCAACUCGAAUACCCGAUGCGGAUACCACAUGACCCAAUAAGCUAACCUCUCUUAACCAGAACUCACACUUACUGAACUUAGCAUAUAACUGUUUAUCCCGCAAAAUUUGCAACACUAGUCUCAGGUGCUCAGCAUGUUCGGUCUCAUCUCUUGAAUAGACCAAGAUGUCAUCAAUGAACACAACUACGAACCGAUCCAAAUAUGGUCUGAAGAUCCGAUUCAUCAAAUCCAUAAAUACCGCAGGGGCAUUAGUGAGCCCAAACGGCAUCACUAAGAAUUCGUAGUGACCAUAUCUCGUUCUGAAGGCAGUUUUGGGUAUGUCCGAAUCUCGAAUUCGCAACUGAUAAUAGCCCGAUCUCAAAUCUAUUUUUGAGAACACUAAGGCUCCUUUUAGUUGAUCAAACAAAUCAUCAAUACGCGGUAAUGGAUAUUUAUUCUUUAUCGUCACUUUAUUCAGUUGACGAUAGUCAAUGCACAACCUCAUGGUUCCGUCCUUCUUUUUCACGAACAAUACUGGUGCACCCCAAAGUGAGAAACUUGGUCGAGCAAAACCUCUAUCCGUCAAUUCUUGCAACUGAGCUUUCAACUCUUUUAACUCGGUUGGUGCCAUACGAUACAGAGCUAUCAAAAUCGGCAUGGUCCCAGGUACAAGCUCAAUACCAAACUCUAUCUCCCGAACAGGUGGUAAACCCGGUAAUUCUUCAGGAAAAACAUCCGGGUAUUCACAAACCACCGGCACAGAUUCGGGUUUCUUUUCUAAUUCUUUGUCAUCAAGUACAUACGCAAGGUAUGCUUCGCACCCUUUUCUUACAUAUUUCUGGGCCAACAUUGAGGAUAUUACAGCUGACAACCCCUUUAAGUCCGUAGACUCAACUCGGAUCAUCUCGUUAUUUGCGCACCUCAAAUCAAUAGUCUUGCUUUUGCAAUUCACAACCGCAUCAUGCGCGGUCAACCAAUCCAAACCAAGAAUAACAUCAAAUUCAUCAAACGGCAAAAGCAUCAAGUCCGCCGGAAAACAGGAACCUCGAAUUACUAGGGGACAUUUCUUACACACUUUGUCGACAAGCACGUAACGACCCAAGGGAUUUGACACCCGAAUUACGAACUCAGUAGACUCAAUAGGUAAAGUCUUACUGGAUGCUAAGGUUUCACAUAUGUAAGAAUGAGUAGAACCGGGGUCAAUCAAAGCAAUUACAUUAGUAUCAAAGAGAGUAAAAGUACUGGUAAUAACAUCAGGCGAAGAAGCAUCCUCGUGGGCACGUAUAGCAUAAGCUCUAGCAGGCGCACGAGCCUCGGAUCUGGUCGUAGCAUCUCUAGAUCCUCUCUGACCACCACUAGCAUUGCCCGUAUUUCCAGAUGGUCUACCUCGAGCAGUGGUAGCACCCGGUUUCCCACUCUGAUUUACAUUCUGUUCAGACAACCUCGAGCAAUCUUUAAUGAAGUGGUCAACUGAUCCGCACUUGUAACAGGAGCGGUCAGGGAAUCUACAACUCCCCGAAUGCCAUUUAUCGCAAUAUCGACAUUUCGUUCUGUCUCGACGUUCAUUCCCAACACUGGCGACCGAAGUGCCUCGUGUACCCACAGGGGGUUGAUCACGAUCUCGUCUAAAAAGGCCUGAAGUGCCUCUAGACCGGCCCACAUCAUCUCGAAAUUUCUUCGAUGCCUGUUGAAGAGACUUUCUCGAGGAUCUUUUAUGAAACUCUCCAGUUCCCACAUCAACUUUUUGUUUUUCUUUUCUAAGCUCUUCGGCUUUACAAGCUCGCUCGACAAGUACUACGAACUCUCGUAUUUCAAGAAUGCCCACGAACAUUUUUAUAUCUUCAUUCAGCCCAUCCUCGAAGCGUUUACACAUGAUAGCCUCAGACGAAACACAUUCCCGAGCAUACCUACUAAGUCUAACAAAAUUUCGCUCGUAAUCAGUAACUGACAUAGAACCUUGCUUAAGCUCAAGAAAUUCCUUCCGUUUUUGAUCAACAAAUCUCUGACUGAUACACUUUUUCCGAAACUCAGUUUGGAAAAACUCCCAAGUUACUUGCUCUCGGGGCACAACAGAAGUCAGAGUACUCCACCAAUAGUAGGCAGAAUCGCGUAGCAAGGAGAUAGUACACUUUAGGCAUUCAUCGGGUGUACAAGAUAGCUCAUCGAGUACCCGGAUAGUGUUGUCCAACCAAAAUUUAGCUUGCUCGGCAUCGUCGCUAUCCGUAGCUUUAAAUUCAGUAGCCCCAUGUUUUCGGAUUCUGUCAACUGGGGGCUUAUUUGACCUUAUUUGGUCAGUUUCUGGAGGUAUUGUAGGUGCGGAGGUGGUGUUAGUUGGGAAUGGAGGUUGUGGAACAGCCGUAUUAGUUCGAAUGUAUUGGUUGAACCAAUCAUUCAUCACGCUAUAGAAAGCUUGUCUAGCUUCAUCAUUCGGGUUACUAGCAUUAGGUUGAGAGUCCGCCGGCGCUGUCCCUUGUGCGGGAGCAGGCGCUACACUCUCAAGAUCAUCAGCUACCGCUCGGUCGGGAUCGGGAUCCAUUACUAUAAAUAAACACAUUUACAAUUGUCAGAAAUCACCACACUAUCAAAUAAUCACAUAAAAUGGCAUGUAUAGCUAGACCCAACGCAUUACGGUAGUCCUAGAAUCGACUAAACCGUAGCUCUGAUACCAAUCAAAUUGUAACACCCCGAACCCGAGACCGUCACCGGAGUCGAACACGAGGUGUUAACAGACUUUAAACCACUUAUAAAAAAUUUUCCCAGACACUACCAAUCUGCGUACUAGUCGCUUAAAAAAUCAUAUCUUGAGUUCAGAAACUCGGAAUCCAGUUCCGUAAAUUUUCCCUGAAACUAGACUCAUAUGCCCAUCUACAUAUUUUUUCUAGAAUUUUUGGUUGGGCCAAUUAGUACAGUUUAUUAGUCAAAGUCUCCCAUGUUACAGGGAUCGACUACACUGACCUUUUUGCAUUACGACUUAGAUAUCUCCCUGUACAGGGCUUCAAUACUGAUGUCGUUUGUUUCUAUAGAAACUAGACUCAAAGAGGAAUCUAUACAUAUAUGGCAUGACUCCUAAUUAUCUCCGGUUAAUUUAUAAUGAAUUUCCAAAGUCGAAACAGGGAAUCCAGAAACUGUUCUGGCCCUGUCUUACGAGAACCUGAAUAUCUCUUAACAUACUGUCCAUAUGAUCGUUUCGUUACUUUCCUAUGAAAAUAGAUUCAUCAAGGUUCGUUUACAUAAUUUAUUCACUAUUUAAUUCCCUUCCUACUAUUUUUAGUGAUUUUCCAAAUCUACAUCACUGCUGCUGUCAGCAUCUGCCUUUAAGGUAGACUUUACCUAUUUCAUAGUUUCCAAGAUUCAACUAGCCCUUUUAGCAUAAAUAGCACAUACGAAACAUACCUUAAUGUUGGGAUGUUUCAAGCGUAUUAACUGAUAUUUUUACAGCUAGAUCAUUCAUUCCCAAAUCACGUACCUUCGGAAUUUAACCGGAUAUAGCUACUCGUUCAAAUGCCUUCGGGACAUAGCCCGGUUAUAGUAACUCGCACAAAUGCCUUCGGGACUUAACCCGGAUUUAGUAACUCGCACAAAUGCCUUCGGGAUUAGCUCGGAAUUAGUAUCUCGCACAAAUGCCUUCGGAUCUUAGUCCAGAUAUGGUCACUUAGCACAAAGCCUUCGGGACUUAGCCCGGACAUCAUUCAAAUAACCAUGCACAUUUAACAAUAAAUCAUGGCACAUUCGUAUUUCGUUUUCGUUAGCAAAACUCAAACACAAGACACUUAUCAUUCUUGCAAUUUCGGCUCAAUAGCCACACACAAAGAGCAUGAUUUUGAUUUGCUUAAAACAUGAUCUAAUCAAAUCAUAAUUUAAGCUCUUUUACUCAAGAACUUACCUCGGAUGUUGUCGAACGAUUCCGAUAGCUAUUCGACCACUUUUUCCUUCCCUUUAUCGGAUUUAGUUCCCCUUUGCUCUUGAGUUUAAUUAAACAAAUAAAUUGAUUUAAUCAUUUGAGCAUCGAAAAGAGGAACACAAGGCACUUAGCCCAUAUUUAUACAUUAGACAUUAAAGUCACAUAUGUACGGAAUCAUGAAUCAAACUCAACAUUUUAGCUAAUUUUCCCCCUUGGCCGAAUUUUCUAAGCCAAGACAAAAGCAUCAAUAUGCUUGCCUCUAACCGAAUACAUGCAACACCAAUCUCCUUCCUAUGGCCGAAUAUGCAUGUCUAUGUUGGGGCCGAUUGCAACACUUAAUACAUUCUACAAGUAUGGUCACUUGUAUUGACUAAACACCAUUUUGUUUCAAGUUCAAAACUUGGCUAAUACACACAUAUAUACACUAGUAAAGCAUCCUCUCCCUUUCCAUCAAUUUAACACAUGCAUUACUCAUUAAUAUACAAAAAUUAUAUUCGGCCUUAGCACACAACUUGCUAGCCGAUUCUUCUCCAUCUAGCAACCAAUGCACAUAUGUGCUCACUCAAAAAUGCUAAAAAGAAGAUUCAAGAAUCAUCAAUCCACCAUCACAUGCAUCAUUAACAAGCUUCAUAUUUAGCAUGCAAUGGCAUUAACACAAAAUCCACCUAGGCCGAAUAUCAUCCCCAUGACAUAGCAAAGAUUUGAACCAUGGGCUAAUUAGAACUCAAGCUAGCAACUAAAAACAUGCAUGAAUCUCAUGGCACAACCUCAAACAUACCUUGAUCUAGAUACAAGUAUGGCCAAACCUCCUCCUAAUCCUCUUCCAAACCAAACAUGAAGCAAGAACUCCUUCCUCCUUCCUUAGAAUUUUCGGCCAAAAGAAGAUGAAAAAGGAUGAACAAAAUUUUUCUUUUCUUUUCUUUAACUCACGGCAAUGGGGGGCAUGGAUGAGACCAUUCUCUUUUUUUUUCAUCACUCUUCCCUUUCAUUAUUUAAUUACCAUGCUCAUUAUUUUAUUGUUUCCACCCAUGAUGCACCAACACAACAUGUCUAUGACAUGUCUUGCCCAUCACACUUGGUCUACCAUACUUGUCAUGGCCGGCCACUACUAAUAGAGGGGGGGGGGAAAUUGACAUGCAAGUCCACCCUUUUUCAACAUGCACUAAUAGGUCCUUAUGCUUUGACCUAUCACAUUUCAAAAUUUUCUCACAUAAGUCCUAUUUACUAAAACUCACAUGCAAUCGACUAAAUCGAAGCUUGAAAUUUUCACACAUUCAUAAUUACAUAUUCUAGACAAUAAAUAUCACAUUCAAACAUUUCGGUGACUCGAUUUAGCGGUCCCGAAACCACUUCCCGACUAGGGUCAAUUUUGGGCUAUCACAGAUAGUACCCAGCUAACCCUAAAAAGCUUCGUAAUUUAUAUACAUUUUGUGGGUUUUUCCAAUUUAAAAUAGCCAAAAGUUUGCCCAGAUAAACUCUUAUACCAUCUCUUGAGAUCACAUGUCUAAGGAAUCCCAAUUCAAUUAGCCAAAAUUCACAUUUACUAAAUUUAGCAUACAGUUUCUUUUCUUGUAAAGUCUGCAAUACAAUCUUCAGAUGUUGAACAUGUUCGUCUUCACUUUUAAAAUAAAUCAAAAUGUCAUCAAUAAACACAACAACAAAAUGAUCAAAUGGGGCUGGAAAACUCGGUUCAUUAAAUCCAUAAAUGUUUCCAGAGCAUUUUUCAUUCCAAAUGGCAUGACCAAAUACUCAUAAUUUCCAUAGCAAGUUGUAAUGAUAUCUUUGGUACAUCUACAUCUUUCACUUACAACUGAUAAUAUUCCGAUCGAAGGUUAAUUUUUGAAAAUACCAAAGCUCUUUUCAAUUGAUAAAAAAGAUCAUCAAUACGAGGUAACGAAUAUUUAUUUUUAUAUUCGUCUUGUUCAAUUGAGGAAAAUCAAUGCGCAAUUUCAAUGACCCAUCUUUCUUUUUAAAAAACAACACAAGUGCAACCCAGGGUGAUACACUUGGUCUAAUAAAACCUCUGUCUAUUAGUUCUUGUAACAUGCUUUAAGUUCUUUAAGUUCAGUUGGAGCCAUUCAAUACGGCAAAAUCGAAAUUAGAGCAGUACCGGGUACUAACUCAAUGACAAAUGCAACUCUCGCUUCGGUGGUAAACCUAGUAAUUCUUCAGGGAAAGCAUUUGGGAAAUCACAAACCAUUGGCACUUGAUCCACUUUCUUCUCUGACACUUUGGAAUCCAAAAUAUAAGCCCAAAACGUUUCACAACCUUUUUGCAUUAACUUAUGUGCUUUCAUUGCCAAAAUAUUAUUUGAAAUACCAUCUAAUCUCUUGGACCUAAUAAAGAUUACUUCACUGUUAGAACCUUUCAACUCAAAUCUUUUUUGAUGACAACAAACCACAGCAUCAUGCAUGUUUAACAAAUCCAUACACAAGAUGACAUUAAACUCAUUGAAGGGUAACAACAAUAAGUUAGCAGGAAAUUUACUGUAACAUCCCUUACCGUAUCCGAUGCCGAAAUAGGGUUCGAGGCAUUACCAGACUUAAACGUAAUCAAACAUACAAAAUCGAGCCAUAAAAUUUCAUCCAAAUUUAAAACUUUUCAAUCACAUGCAAAAUGUCCCUUAUAAGGGCAUACGAGGCCCAAAACAUACAUCGGAAGUGGUUUGGGACUAAACCAAUCACUUUUGGAACCUUUUUGACACUUAGGAAAAUUUUCUUGUUUUGAGGAGUCACACGCCCGUGUGGGUAAGUCGUGUGGUCACACACGCCCGUUUGGCAUGGGACACGCCCGUGUCCUCAGCCAGUGUAACUCUUUGACGAUGAUGUCAUCAUACAAUUAAGGAUACACAGCCAAGUCACACGCCCGUGUGAUUAGGCCAUGUGGCGACUUAAAUUUCAAAAAUUAAGUGCAGACUUCACACGGCCUAGGCACAAGCCCAUGUCUUGAGACCGUGUCCUCUACAUGGUUGAGACACAUGGCCGUGUCUCUGCCUAUGUGUUUACCAUUGGGCAUUCUGUUUUGCAUUCAUUAGGGUACAGGGGACACACAGCCAGACCACGCGCCCAUGGGGCAGACCGUGUGUCACACACGGCCUAGACAUACACCCGUGUGGACAAUUUCUAGGCUAUUUUCCAAGCCAUUUGUUACCCUUAAGCACUCACACACUUAAACCCACUUUAUGGCAUGCAACAUGGCACCCUUAGUUACUCAAGCAUUCACACACAUAGUUGAUUUAUAACUUAGUAGUAUCAACAUAUCACAUACUUAGACGAUUUGGCUUUCAUAUGGAAUUCUACACCAAUUUCAUAUUUAUUCAUCAUUAUACCACAUUUAUUGUCAUACUUAUUAAUCAUAUUUCAUACAUUAAAUAUACAUGCCAUCCAUCACACUCAUUAACAUAAUCAACCACAAGCCUCAUCAAACUAAUACCUUAAGCAUGCAACCCAUAUCUCAUCACAUAUCCAUCAAACAACCACAACAAGCAUAAACACAUUGCUUGUAUGCAUAACUAAUUAGGGUUACAACCCAAAUAAACAAUAUGAGCCACCUCUCAUGGCCAUAUACAAAAUGAAUCAUAAUAUCAUCAUGAGCCUCACACUUGGCUAAUCAAUAUGACAAAUAAUAAAAAAAACUAAGUCCCUAUACAUGCCAUAUUCAAAAUGUUGAAUCUAACUAUACCAAAUUUCCCAAUUGAUAGUGUGAUCGAAAACUCCAACGUCCUCCAAUCCCCGAGCUAGCUUAGCGACACUAUAAGGAAAGGAAAGGAAAGGGGGUAAGCUAUAAAGCUUAGUAAGUUCACAUGAAAAUAAUAAUAAGCAACAUAAAUCAUACAAUUAACAUAAGGCAAAGUUUCAUAAAUGUCAUCAAGUCUCACAAGCGUAACUUUCUCAUAUGCAUUCUUACCACAUGUUCAUAGCAUACCGAGAUCUUUAAUCAUGAGUUUAUGUGCAUACAUGUACCAACUUGCACAUAAUACUUACUUUCUCGUCUUUGACGUGUUCAUUAAGAUUACCCAUGGAACUUCUUUUUGAACUACCAGUUGAACACUUGAAAUACCAGUGGACGCAUUGGAAACUCGCACCAAAGUGCCCUAUAUGUAGCCAUCGCUACCUCAUAUCAUAUAUCACAUGUUGCUCGCUUUCAAGCUACUCAUGGGUUAGCUCACACAAGCUAUAGGUCAAGAUGCAGCUACACGGGCUGCUCACACAAGCUGUCAGGUAUCCACAACACAUUUCAAACUACCCAGCCACUGGUAGACAUACAAGACUAGUACUCGGAACACCAAAACAUGUCUCACAUAUAUCCUAAACUUAGACCACAACUCAUGAGCUCAGAUCACAUAAUUCCUGGUGACAUGUCACUUGUAUCCUAAACAAUUCCUAUGCUUCAAACAGGAUUCUUUGAUACCACAUUUUCGUUGAGCUUGCUCGUAAUAUCGAUUUCAAUAUCCAUAGCACCAAUCACGUACUCAUGGAAUAAUCAAGCAUAAUUCAUAAUAAUAUUUAAGCAUUAACACAUGGUACAAUAUCACAUUAAUCAUAUAUAUAUAUACUUACCAUACAUGCAAUAUUAAAGCACUUAAAGUAUGGUACAUGUUGUAUUAUUUGCAAAUGAACUUACCUCAGAACAAAAUGAUGCGAACGAGCCUAAUCCUCGUAAACUUUGUUUUUCUCCUGAUCAAGACCCGAAUCAAGUUUUUCUUGAUCUAUAAUGCCAAAUUUAACUUGCUCAAUACACACAUUGCUCAUAUCGACCCAUAGCACAUACUUUGGUAAAAUUACCUUUUUACCCCUAACUUUUCACUUAUUUACACUUUAGUCCUUAGGCUCGUAAAAUGAAAUGCAUACAUUUUCUUUGUUAUCCAAGCCUAGCCGAUUCAUAUUCUAUCUUAUAUCAGCCCAUAUUUCUCAUUAAAUCACAUUUCUACUGCUCAUUUCUUCAUCUUUUACAAAUAAGUCCUUUUAGGUGUUUUCACUAAAAAUCACUUAAUAAAAGAUGUUUAUGACACAUCAAACAUUCAUAUUCUUCCAUUAAACAUCAAAAUACAAACAUGUCACACAUGGGUCAAGUUCCAUACAUGAACCCUACUUCAAAAUAUGGCUAGAAAUGGGUAGAUCAUGCUUCAAGGAUCUCAAAAAUGUAAAGAACAUCAAAAACGGGACUUGGGAGCACUUACAAUCAAGCUUGAAACGUUCAAAACCCUAGUUAUGGAACCCUUGUAAAUUUCGGCACACAAGGAGGAAGAUGGAUACAUUUUUUACUAGAGUUUUCCCUUUUUAUUCUUUUAUUUACCAAAAAACAAAAUGCCUUUAAGGCAUUUCUUUCCAAUUUCUCCUAUUCAUGCCCAUUUUUGUCCAAAAUUAUGGUAAUUGGUCAAAUUUCUAUUUAAGACCUUCUAAUUUAUAAUUCAAUGCAAUUUCAUGCUUGAAGCUUCUAGAACACAAGUUUUACAACUUAUUCAAUGUAGUCCCUAAAGUCAAAUUGGACACCUUAGGUAUAUAAUUUCUUCAUGAAAAUUUCACACAAACAUGCAAUCAUAUCAUGGACCAUCAAAUAAUCAUAAAAUAAUUAUUUCUAUUUUAGAUUUGUGGUCUCAAAAUUACUGUUUCGACUGGACCCUAAUUUGGGAUGUUACAACUCUUCCUCCUUUAGGAUUUUCGUCCUUGAAAAUCUUACUAGUAAAAAGGUUUGGAUUUUGUUUUCUCAUGGCCUCUUCGGGCUCUCAUGUAGCCUCUUCAACCCCAUUUCUCUUCCAUAAAACCUUCACAAGGUCAAUACUUUUAUUCCUCAAUUGUUUGACUUCUCGAGCCAAAAUCUUAACCGGUUCCUCACCAUAAGUCAUAUCUGGUCGAAUUUCAACCUUUGUUAGUGAAAUCACAUGUGAAGGAUCAGAUCGAUAACGAUGCAACAUAGACACAUGAAGCACAUCAUGAGUCUUUUCCAACUCAGAUGGUAAAGUCAACAGAUAGGCAAGUAGCCCUAUUCUCUCGGUGAUCUCAUAUGGCCCUAUAAAAUGAGGACUCAACUUGCCCUUCUUGUUGAAUCUCAAAACCUUUUUCCAUGGAGAUACUUUCAAAAAUACCUUAUCACUUACUUGAUACUCAAUUUAUUUCCGUUUCAAAUCCGCAUAUGAUUUCUAUCUAUCCAAAGCGGCUUUCAAAAAAUCACGAAUUACCUUCACUUUCUCUUCAGUUUCUUUUACUAGAUCAACUCCGUGAAUCUGAUUUUCUUUGACCUCGGUCCAAUAUAAGGGUGUUCAACAUUUACGCCCAUACAAUGCCUCAUAAGGUGCCAUUUUCAAAUUCGACUAAUAACUAUUGUUGUAGGUAAACUCCACCAAUGGUAAGUACUUUUCCCAAUUACCUUGAAAUUCUAAUACACAACAUCGGAGCAUGUCUUCCAACAUCAUCAUGAGCCACACACUUGGCUAAUCAAUAUGGCACAUAACAAAAAGACCAAGUCCCUAUACAUGUCAAAUUCAAAAUGUUGAAUCUAACUAUACCAAAUUUUCCAAUUAAUAGUAUGAUCGAAAACUCUGGCGUCCUCCGAUCGCUGAGCUAGCUUGGUGACACUAUAAGGAAAUGAAAGGAAAGGAAAUGGGGUAAACUUUAAAGCUUAGUAAGUUCACAUGCAAAUAAUAAUAAGCAACAUAAAUUAUACAAUUAACAUAAGGCAAAGUUUCAUAAAUGUCAUCAAGUCUCAUGAGGAUAACUUUCUCAUAUGCAUUCUUACCACAUGUUCAUAGCAUACCGAGAUCUUUAAUCGUGAGUUUAUGUACAUACCUGUACCAACUUGCACAUAAUACUUACUUUCUCGUCUUUGACGUGUUCAUUAAGAUUACCCAUGGAACUUCUCUUUGAACUACCCAUUGAACACUUGAAAUACCAUCGAAUAUAUCGAAAACUCGCACCAAAGUGCCCUAUACGUGGCCAACCCUACCUCAUAUCAUAUCUCACAUGUUGCUCGCUUUCGAGCUAAUCACGGUUCAGCUCACACAAGCUAUAGGUUAGGAUAUAGCAACACUGGUUGUUCACACAAGCUGUUGGGUAUCUGCAACACAUGCCAGACUACCCAGCCACUAGUAGACAUACAAGACCAGUAAUGGCAAAACAUGUGUCACAUAUAUCCUGAACUCAGACCACUACUCAUGAGCUCAAAUCACAUAAUUCCUAGUGACAUGUCACUUGCAUCCUAAACUAUUCCUAAGGUUCAAAUGGGAUUCUUCGAUACCACAUUUCCAUUGAGCUUACUCGUAAUGUCGAUUUCAAUAUCCAUAGCACCAAUCACUUACUCAUGGAAUAAUCAAGCAUAAUUCAUAAUAAUAUUUAAGCAUUAACACAUGGUACAAAAUCACAUUAAUCAUAUAUAUAUACUUACCAUACAUGCAAUAUUAAAGCACUUAAUGUAUGGUACAUGUUGCAUUAUUUGCAAAUGAACUUACCUCUGUGCAAAAUGACCGGAACGAGCCUAAUCCUCGUAAACUUUGUUUUCCCCCCGAUCAAGACCCGAAUCACGUUUUUCUUGAUCUAUAAUGCCAAAUUUAACUUGUUCAAUACACACAUUGCUCAUAUCGACCCAUAACACAUACUUUGGUGAAAUUACCUUUUUACCUCUAACUUUUCACUUAUUUACGCUUUAGUCCUUAGGCUCGUAAAAUGAAAUGCAUACAUUUUCUUUGUUACCCAAGCCUAUUCAAUUCAUAUUCUAUCUCAUAUCAGCCGAUAUUUUUCUUUAAAUCACAUUUCUACUACUCAUUUCUUCAUCUUUUACAAAUAAGUCCUUUUAAGUGUUUUUACUAAAAAUCACUUAGUAAAAUAUGUUUAUGACACAUCAAACAUUCAUAUUCUUCCAUUAAACAUCAAAAUACAAACAUUUCACGCAUGGGUCAAGUUUCAUACAUAAACCCUACUUCAAAAUAUGGCUAGAUGUAACAGUUCGGUUUAAGCCCUAGUUAAAAUAGUGGUUUCUGGACUACAAAUUAGAGUCAAAAAUAUUUAAAUAUUAUUUUCUGUGCUUAUGUUAUGUCAAUUAUCAUGUUUAAAAUUUUCGUAUGAAAUUUUGAUCAAUUGUGUGCUUAAUUUGAUAAAAGGACCUAAUCGCAUAAAAUGUAUAAGUUGCCUGUUGUUUGUUAAAAGUGCCUAUUUGAUUUGGCUCAUUAAUUGUAAGGUCCUUAUGAUGUAAUUUGACCAUUUAAAAUUUUUAUGGACAUUAAUGACCAUUGAAUAUAUGUUUAUUAUAUGUUUUAAUAAAGAUUAAAUUUGUAAAUAGGUAAAUAAACCUAUUAUAAUAAAAUAAAACAUGAUAUUUGUUUCAUAUUUCCAUCAUUUUGGCUGAAUAUAUCAGAGAAAAAGAAAAGAUAAAAGCAAGCUCUCACUAUUAAUCUUUGAUUUAGGUAUGUUUUUGUUUCGAUUUUUGAUAAUUUCUAUGUUUUUGUAAUCGUUGCUUUGAAUGCUAUCAAGCCCAUGUCUCAAUUUCUGAUUUUGUUGAUGAUUUUGAAAUGUGCCAUUGAUGAAACUAUGAGUUCUGUGAAGUUAGUUGUUGGUAAAUGGAAGAUAUGUUUUGGGUUAACAUGUUUUGUCCUUGGAUUUUUGAUGAAUUUGAGUAAAAAAGGGUAAAUUGUGAAAUUUGUAAAUUGAAGGACUAAAAUGUGAAAUAAAUGAAAUGUGUGGACUAGUAUGAGUACUCGAAGAAUUCGGCCAAGCAUGAGUAUAUGCAAAUUAUAUGUAUUUUGUGAUUUUGUGAAUUAGGGACUAAAGUGUCAAAAUGUGAAAAUGUGAGGGCUAGUUUGCAAAAUGCCCUAAAUGUAUGCUUGUGGAUUGAAUUGAAUGACUUGGUGAAUAAAAGGGUUAAUUUUGAAUACAUAUAGAUCAAGAAAAGAGGAAUUCAGAUUUAGACCGAGGAAAGUCGAAGAUAAUCGAGUAGACGAUUCAAAUCGACAAUUUCGAGUACGAGGCAAGUUUGUAUGGAAUAAAUGAUAUUAUAGUCAUCUUUUAAUGCUUUAAAGAUGCAUGAAUUGUAUAGAUGUUUUACUAUGGUUUGUGUAAGUGGAUAAAUCGAAGGUAUUCGGCACUAAGUGUGCGAUUUGAAAUAGUUAUGGUUAUAAAUAGCACUAAGUGUGCUAAAUGGAAUAGCUUUGGCUAUAUGAGGCACUAAGUGUGUGAUACUGAUGUAGCCUAGGCUAUUUGAGAUGGCACUAAGUGUGCGGGUUCAUUUUAGCUUCUGCUAAUCAUUAAAGCACUAAGUGUGUGAAUUCUUAAAGCGUGGAAAGACUUCGGAAAGAAUUAAUGAAUUCGAAUGGGAGGUAAGAAUGAAAAUGAAUAAAUACGGGAAAGUUCAGGUAUGUACUGUGACAGCCCUAAUGUGACCCUAGUCGGGAAGUGGUUUCGGGGCCACAAAAUCGAGUCAUAAAAAUAAUUAGCUGACAUAUUUGAUGCUUAUUAUAUGUAUAUAUGCAUGUGUGAAAAUUUCAUAUUUGAAUUUUGUUUAAUUGUAGGUGAAUUUUAGUAAAUAGGACUUAUGUGAGAAAAUUUUGAAAUGUGAUAGGUCAAAGCAUAAGGAUCUAUUAGUGCAUGAAAUAAAAAUGGGGGACUUGCAUGUCAAUUUCCCCCCCCUAAUUAGUAGUGGCCGGCCAUGACAAGUAUGGUAGACCAAGUGUGAUGGGAAAAACAUGUCAUAAACAUGUUAAGUUAGUGUUUCAUGGGAGGUAUGAUAAAAUAAGGAGCAUGGGAAUAAAAUAAUGAAAGGGAAUAUGAUGAAAACAAAAAAAAAAGUGUGUGGUUGUUCCCCCAUUUUGCCGAAACUAGAAAAAAAAAAGAAAGGCUUCAUCCUUUGGUUCUUCUUCGCCGGUUUGAAAGGAGGAAGAAGAGAGGUUUCGGUCACCUUGAGCUUAAGGGGAGGUUAGUAUGUUGUGUUAAAUUCUUAAGUUUUAAACUUGUUUCUAGUUAAUUAGCAAAUUUCUUACACAAACCAUGGCAAAAUUUCGAAAUCUCGGUGAUGGCUUGAGCAUUCGGUUUUGGUUGUUGAAAGGAAUGAGUUGGAGGUUGGAUCAUGUUAAGAUUCGACCUUGUACAUAAACAUUAAGAGUUUGAUGUUUUUGCGAUUUUUGGAAGGUAAAUAAGGUUAUACACAAGAUAAAUACUAAGAUUUUGGUUGACUUGUUUUAGUGAGGUUCGGCCAAGGACCUUAUGUGCAAGUUUAUUCGGUUUAAGUAGAGAAAACGUGACGGGUAGAUAUGAAGUAAUGUGUAUAUUGGUUCAGCUGCUAAGCAAGGAAAUAAUUGUUAGUAACAUAGUAUCUAUGCACUUAUGUAUAUAUAUGUAUGUACAAAUAACCUAUUUAGCUAUGGAUAUCUAAGGUGUUAAAUAAUGAAAUUCUUGAUAACUUGGGUUAAAUAGCAUUCGGCCAAGGACUAUAUGGGCUUGUUAAUUCGGUUUAAGUGAAGAAACUAUGAUAGAGAAAUAUGACUAAAUUGUGGACUUUGACAAUUUAAAUGAUGCAUUUGACUUGUGUACCGACCUAGGACGAUAUGUGUUUCUAUAUGAAGUUAGAUGGUGUUGAUGAAGUUCGGUAAUGCAUGAUGUUUAAAUAGUAUUGAGCAAGGUCAUUGUACUUAAAUUGUAUGACAUACAUGUAUUGAAUGGAAUUGCCCAAGUGAAAAUAUUAAAUGAAUUUAUUUGUUUAAAUUAAGCUCAAGAGCAAAGGGGAUCUAAAUCCGAUAAAGGGAAGGAAAAAGUGGUCGAAUAGCCAUCGAAACAGUUCGACAACACCCGAGGUAAGUUUUCGAGUAACGAGACUUAAUUUACGAUUUGAUUAAGUCAUGACGCAUGAGCAUAACAAAUAUACGGUGAUAUGAUGAUUCUACUUGAAUUAUAUGUUGAGUUAAUUAGUCUAUACGUAUGACGGGUAGCCGUAUGUGCAUAGAGAUCGCGUCAUAAAGUAAACUAAACCAUGCUGUUUGUAUGUGGCUAGUGAGCCGAAAAUGGGAUUGCUUAAUACGUGACUUGUGUUUGAAUUCUAGUUAUGAAAUUGAAAUAGAGAUGUGUCAUGAUUUAUUGAUAUGUGCAUAGAUAUUCGGAUGAUAACCGGGCUAAGUCCCGAAGGCAUUUGUGCUAGUGACUAAUUCCGGGCUAAGCCUGAAGGCAAUUGUGCGAGUUAUUAUACCGGGGCUAAUUCCCGAAGGCAUUCGUGCGAGUUAUUAUGUCCGGGCUAAGUCCCGAAGGCAUUGGUGCGAGUUACUAUAUCCGGGCUAUGUCCCGAAGGCAUUCGAGCGAGUAGCUAUAUCCGGUUAAAUCCCGAAGGUACUUGGCUUGGGAAUAAGCGACCUUGCUGUUAUAGUUUCAAUUAAUACACUCGUAAAAUCCCAGCAAUGAGGUAUGUUUGUAUAUGCAUCGAAUUAGUUGAUCCCUUACAAAUAGUAUUCGCUCAGUCGAUAAAUGAGCUACCGGCCUUUGGCUAUGUUGAUCUUUUGUGUAUGAAUAUAAGGGUUGGUAAUGUGAAGUAAGUAUGAUAUUGAGAAUUUGUGCAUGUCAAAUUAUCCAUUUAGCCAUAUGAAUGCUACAUUUUAGUUGUGUCAAAUUUUAUGGCUCAAAACUUACUAAGCAUUAAAUGCUUACUCCGCUUCUGUAAAUCUCUGUUUUAUAGAUUUUGGUUCUUCAGCUAUCGGACUCCGGAUUUUUGAAGUCGAAGUCGCCCACACUAUCAAAGCUCCUUUUGGUACACUUUUGGUUGAACUUUGAAAUGGCAUGUAUAGGACACCCCUUUUUUGUUAUUAGUCAAGUACUUUGGUGUUGUAUAUAUUUAGAUAGCCAUGCGAAAAUGGCUUAUAUAUAUAUUUUGAGCAUAAUGUUAUAAUCAUCUUGAAUGUAUAUGUUCAUUAGGAGGCAUGGAAAUGUUUGGCAACGAUUAGCCAUUAGAAUGGUUCAUCAUGAUUAUAUUUGUAACACCUCGAACCCGAGACCGUCGCCGGAGUCGAACACGAGGUGUUAACAGACUUCAAACCACUUAUUAAAAAUUUCCCAGACAAGCUGCCAAUCUGCGUACUAGUCACUUUAAAAAUCAUAUCUUGGGUUCUGAAACUCUAAAUCCAGUUCCGUAAAUUUUACCCAGAACUAGACUCAUAUAUCUAUAUGGUAGAAUUUUUGUAGAAUUUUUGGUCAGGCCAAUUGGUACAGUUUAUUAGUUAAAGUCAUCACUGUUCCUGGGUUCGACUACUCUGACCUUUGUGCAUUACGACUUAGAUAUCUCCCUUUACAGAGCUUCAAUACUUAUUCCGUUUGUUUCUAAUGAGACUAGACUCAAAAGGAAAUCUAUAAAUAUAAGGAAUAUCUUCUAAUUGUCUCUGAUUAAUUUAUGGUGAAUUUCUAAAGUCGGAACAGGGGAUCCAGAAAUUGCUCUGGCCCUGUUUCACAAGAGUUUAAUUAUCUCCUAACAUACAGCUCAUAUGGUCGUUUCGUUUCUUCCAUAUGAAAAUAGACUCAUCGAGCUUCGAUUAAAUAAUUUAUUCAUUAUUUAAUUCCAUUCCUACUAUUUUUAGUGAUUUUUCAAUCUCACAUCACUGCUGCUGCCAGCAUCUGUUACUAAAGCAACUAUGCCUAUUUCGUGAUUUCUCCUUGAUCUAACUAAUAAUUCAUCAUACAUAUCACAAAUUAUGAUCAUGACUAGCCAUGCCAAAGGCUAAUCAUUGUCAAACAUCUCCCUACUACACUAUUGCCAUAUCAUGAAUUUUAACACCAAAAAUAAUCAACCAUGACAUAUGGCAUAAAAAUCGAAUAGGCCUCAACUAUUAUUCAACCAAAACCGAAUUGGCCCAAUAUCAGUCAUGACCACAUUAUAAAACCCAUUUACUAAGAUUUAUAACUAAAUAUCAUAGGACCCAAAGUCCAAAUUAACAUUUAUGCUAUUUUCGCAUGGCUGAAAGUUUACAUACCAAAGUUCAAACACAACAUAAUAGCCUAUACAUGCCGAAAUGUUCUCCUAGACCGACUAAGAAGAAAGUACCAAAACUUGCUAGUUGGUGUGAUGACUUCGAUGACGGUCCCAAGCACGCAAAAAGACGAGUCCAAGAAACCUAAAGUAGGUGACAAGCGAACACCGAGUGAGUAUAUAACUCAGUAAGUCUAUAAGCAUUACAUAAUCAUCCAUUAAUAAAUUAUCACAUGAGAAAACAAGUGAAAAUGGGUUAAUUCUCUCCACCCAUACCAACUAUGCCAUGGUUCCUUAGACCUUUCGGCUCAAUAUCAUACAAAGUACUACAUCAAUUUUUCAUAUGCUACUCAACAUGGUAUUUGAGGCAUUUUCCAUGGAUGCUUUCAUUCUCGUUACAUUCAUGCAACUAAAUAACAUUCCCUCUAUUCCAAGAUGAAUCUCAUGUACGUCACUUCAAGUAUAAUUAUCACAUAGGUUCAAAACUUAUCAAGCAAGAAUUCCAAAUAUAAACAUAACGUCUAUUAGCCAUGAACUCAAGAAACUUACUCAUCCGCUGUCCGUGACCAACUCAAUAAGGUCGCACACUUAGUGUCAAUAGUGCUUCAAAAACAUAUAGUAAGUCCGCACACUUAGUGUUAUAUAAUCAAACUCGCACACUUAGUGCUUACAUAAUCAAACUCGCACACUUAGUGCUAUAUAAUCAAACUUGCACACUUAGUGCUAUGCAAUUUAAACCUGCACACUUAGUGCCAAUCUCAUGAUCAUAAUUGUUUAUACCCGCACACUUAGUGCCGAAAUCAACAUCUCAAUACACCUCACCUCUUUUCUUUUUCAUUCAAUACUUUCAUCACCCCAUGCAUACGUGUAUAUAUAUAUUUAUCAUUCCAUUCGACAUAAUUACAUAGACAUUAUGACUAUUUAAAUCAAUACCAAAUAUAUGCUUAAUGACUUACCUUGUGUUGGGUAAAAUAACUCCAAGUCGACUACUCGAUGAUCUUCGAUUUCCCCUUGUUGGACGCCUCUCCUUUAGGAUCUUGAGCUUAAACAAAUAAAUUAACUCAUUCAACCGCUUUGCUACAUAUAUUGGUAUUCACAUUUUAAUGAUUUUGUGACAUACGGAAUGGCAUGGUAAAAUUUUUAUCUUGCUACCUUGUGUUCUUAGCUAUUCAGCUAAUAACCUUAUGCAAUUACCAUACUUUCAAUAAUCUAAUCACACAUGCAUAUGCAUACUUGGACAUUCGGCAAUCACCUUGCUAAUUUUAUACUCAACAUCACAUAAGCUCCCAAGUGAUGGCCGAAUAUGUAUAUCUAUACUAUCACCUAUAAUUCCUCAAUCACAACAUUUCAUCUCAUGAACACUUGACCCAUUUCUCACAAAAAAUGAAACAACAACUAAAAUGAACAUCCCAUUUUUAUCCCAUAUAGCCGAUUGCUUCAUUUGUUACCCAACUAACAAUUCAACAAUUUCAACCUCAUUACAACCUCUACCUAUUCAAUAUAACAUGAACACAAUCCUCCACCCCUAAAGUAGAUUCGGCAAUCACUUAACCCAUUUUAACCUCAACUUUCAAGUUAAAAGAAAUUAACCACUCACCAUCUCCUACAUUACUAUCCAUUUUAAUGACAUUAACACAUCUACUAAGAGUUUCAAACUUCUUGGCCGAAUUUCAACCCCAAAAUCCUAAGUCUAAUCUAUAGGAUGAGUAGAAUUGGAACUAACCAUCUCAAACAUGCAUAGAUUUUCAAGAAUCAUUCAACACAUACCUCAUUCUAGCCAUCUUCCAAGCCAAAAUCAAAUAACCAAGUCUCCCUUCCUUCUCCUCACUCACGGCAAUUGCCAAGAAAAAAAAAGAUGAACACUCCCUCUUCCCUCCUUAUUUUAUUCACCUUUUUCCUUUUUUAAUUCCUUUUUAUUUUAAUUGUUAACUAAACAAAACAUAUUAAAUUAGAAUAAGUGGAGCUCCAUCACCCCUUGGCCGGCCACUCUACUUCUUUUGGGUAAAUUGACAUGCAAAACCACCCUUUUUGGUACAUCCACUAAUAGACCAUUUUAAAUUAGCCUAUCAUAUUUCACCAUGUCUCAUAUUGAUCCCUAUUCAAUAAUUUCUCAUGCAAUUGGCAAAAUUAGGGAAUGAAACCUCCACAUAUGCAUGUACACAUAUAAUAAGCAUAGAAUAUAGCAAUUAAUUAUAUUUUUUAUGACUCGGUUUUGUGGUCCCGAAACCACUUUCUGACUGGGGUCACACUGGGGCUGUCACAAUAUUUUGGGCUAUAUAUGCUAAAGGGCUAGUUGAAUCAUGGAAACUAUGAAAUAGGUAAAGUCUACCUUAAAGGCAGAUGCUGACAGCAGCUGUGAUGUAGAUUUGAAAAUUCACUAAAAAUAGUAGGAAUGGAAUUAAAUGGUGAAUAAAUUAUGUAAUCAAACCUUGAUGAAUCUAAUUUCACAUGGAAGAAACGAAACGAUCAUAUGAGUUUUAUGUUAAGAGAUAUAUAGGUUUUUGCGAAAUAGGGCCAGAACGGUUUCUGGAUUCCCUGUUCCGAAUUUGGAAAUUCAUUAUAAAUUAACCAGAGAUAAUUAUAAGUCAUGCCAUAUAUUUACAGAUUCCUUUUUGAGUCUAGUUUCUAUAGAAACAAACGUCAUCAGUAUUGAAGCCCUGUACAGGGAGAUAUCCAAUUCGUAAUGCGCAAAGGUCAGUGUAGUCAAACCCUGAAACAGGGGAGACUUUAACUAAUAAACUGUACCAAUUGGCUCGACUAAAAAUUCUAGAAAAAAAUUUGUAGAUGAAAAUAUGAGUCUAGUUUCAGGAAAAAUUUACGGAACUGGUUUUCGAGUUUUGGAACUCGAGAUAUGAUUUUUAAGGUGACAGUGACGCAGUUAGCCAGAUCGUCUGGAAAUUUAAAAUGGACUGUGCAGAUAAGUGAAUUUAGUCCGUUCACACCUCGUGUCCGACUCCGGCAACGGCCUCAGGUACGGGGUGUUACAAUUUUAUUGGUAUCAGAGCUACGGUUUAGCCGAUUCUAGGACUACCGUAAUGCGUUUGGGUCUAGCUAUACAUGCCAUUUUAUGUGAUUAUUUGAUAGUGUGGUGAUUUCUGACAUUUGCAAACGUGUUUAUUUAUAGUAAUGGAUCCCGAUCCCGACUGAGCGGUAGCUGAUGAUCUUGAGAGUGUAGCGCCUGCUCCCGCACAAGGGACAGCGCCGGCAGACUCUCAACCUAACGCUAGUAAUCCGAAUGAUGAAGCUAGACAAGCUUUUUAUAGCAUGAUGAAUGAUUGGUUCAACCAAUACAUUCGAAUUAAUACGGCUGUUCCACAACCUCCAUUCCCGACAAAUACCACCCCCGCACCUACAAUACCUCCGGUAACUGACCAAAUAAGGUCAAAUAAGCCCCCAGUUGACAGAAUUCGAAAACACGGGGCUACUGAAUUAAAGCUACGGAUAGCGAUGAUGCCGAGCAAGCUGAAUUUUGGUUGGACAACACUAUCCGGGUACUCGAUGAGCUAUCUUGCACACCCGAUGAGUGCCUAAAGUGUACUAUCUCCUUGCUACGUGAUUCUGCCUACUAUUGGUGGAAUACGUUGACUUCUGUUGUGCCCAGAGAGCAAGCAACUUGGGAGUUCUUCCAAACCGAGUUUCGAAAGAAGUAUAUCAGUCAGAGAUUCAUUGACCAAAAACGAAAGGAAUUUCUUGAACUCAAACAAGGUUCCAUGUCAGUUACCGACUAUGAACAAAAAUUUGUAAGGCUUAGCCGGUACGCGCGAGAAUGCAUUUCUUCAGAAGCCGUGAUGUGUAAACGUUUCGAGGAUAAGCUGAAUGAUGAUAUAAAGCUGUAUGUUGGCAUUUUAUAAAUCCGAGAGUUUGUGGUACUUGUCGAGCGAGCUUGCAAAGCCGAGGAGCUCAGUAUGGAGAAAAGAAAAGCUGAGGUGGGAGCAAGGGAGUUUCGUAAGAGGUCUUCGGGGAAGCCCUUCCCACAGUCAUCGAAGAAAUUUAGAGAUGGCUUAGGCCGGUCUAGAGACACUUCGGGCUUUUCUAGACGAGAUCGCGAUCGACCCCCUGCGAGUGCACGAGUCACUUCGGUCGCCAGUGUGGAAAAUGAUCGUCGAGAUAGAACGGAGUGUCAGUAUUAUGGUAAAUUGCAUUCGGGGAGUUGUAGAUUCCAUGACCGCUCCUGUUACAAGUGCGGAUCAGUUGACCACUUCAUUAAAGAUUGCCCGAGGUUGUCUGAACAGAAUGUAAGUCAGAGUGGGAAACCGGGUGCUACCACUGCUCGAGGUAGACCAUCUAGAAAUACGGGCAAUGCUAGUGGUGGUCAGAGAGGAUCUAGAGAUGCUACAACCAGAUCUGAGGCUUGUGCUCCUGCUAGGGCUUAUGCUAUACGCGCACGCGAGGAUGCUUCCUCGCCAGAUGUUAUUACCGGUACUUUUACUCUCUUUGGUACUAAUGUGAUUGCUUUGAUUGACCCUGGUUCUACUCAUUCUUAUAUAUGUGAAACCUUAGCAUCCAGUAAGACUUUACCUAUGGAGUCCACUGAGUUCGUAAUUCGGGUGUCAAAUCCCUUAGGUCGUUACGUGCUUGUCGACAAAAUGUGUAAGAAAUGUCCCCUAGUAAUUCGAGGUUCCUAUUUUCCGGCGGACUUGAUGCUUUUGCCGUUUGAUGAGUUUGAUGUUAUUCUCGGUUUGGAUUGGUUGACCGUGCAUGAUGUGGUUGUGAAUUGCAAAAGCAAGACUAUUGAUUUGAGGUGCGCAAAUAACGAGAUAAUCCGGGUUGAGUCUACGGACUUAAAGGGGUUGCCAGCUGUAAUAUCAUCAAUGUUGGCUCAGAAAUAUGUAAGAAAGGGGUGCGAAGCAUACCUUGCGUAUGUACUUGAUGACAAAGAGUUAGAAAAGAAACCCAAAUCUGUGCCGGUGGUUUGUGAAUACCCGGAUGUUUUUCCCGAAGAAUUACCGGGUUUACCACCUGUUCGGGAGGUAGAUCUUACUUAGAUUGAAGAAGCUUUAUCAAACUACAUAGUACAGACCAUAUAUCUUAAAUAUUCAACAUCAAGCAAGGAAAUUACAAAUUAGGCAAGGAGAACCCAAUAAUCUAUGGAGAUAGAAAUAUUCUAAAGCAGCAGAUCAGGGUUCAUUAACAAUCUGACUUAUCAAAGUUAUCGUGCAUAGAGACUUUUAAUGAUACUUGAUCAUGCACAAGCACAUGCAUGUAAAUAAAAAAGGAAUAAAACAAUCUGUGGUUUAUUGAGAUUACUGAAAUCAAAGUUCAUAAAUGGUCAAUCUUUAUUUCAAAUGAUACUUGGUCAAGCACAAGCACAAGCACAUGCAUGCAAAUAAAAACGGAAUAAAAAAGGAACUCACUCUUGAUGUUUACUUGUAUAGAGACAUAUCAAAAUUUGCAAAAGUAUUGACAGAUUAAACCAUCUCGAGAAAAAUCUUGAAUAUUCAAGCUUUUAAUUGUGUAUUUUUAGCAUUUUCGCAUCCCACCUGAGUAUAGGGAAAACCAGUUUACUGAGUUUCUAUUGACAAAAUCUAUGUUUCAGAAACUAAAAUAAUGUACCAUGCAAAAGAUGUAUGCCUUGGUAUUAUUAGCCUUUUUGCUCAGAAAAUUAAUAAUUUUUUUAAUUCAUGGAAAUAUCUACAAGUUAGAAAGAACAAAUUAACUAAAGACAGAGUAAAAAAGAACAAAUCAAGCCCUUCGGCCCCUGCCUGCAUAUUUCAAUUUAAUAUUGAAUUCGAUUCCACUCGAAAAAUUCGAAAAAAAAUCAAAUUUCAAAUUAUUUGAAUUGAGUUAAUAGAAUCAACUCGAUUUUUAAUCCGAAACAGUCAUAUAAAAGCUAAAUCAUGCAAUUUAUCUUUAAGUACACAUUUUAAAUCGUUCAAGUUUUUUACUGGUUUAAUAAUAUAUUAGAUCAUAUCCAAUUAAGCAGGCUCUUACCGAAGAAAGUUGGUGAUCCGAUCAAGAGAGUAAAAUGAUCAGCUUCUAGUUUUGUUCGUUGAGUAAUAUCGUCGAGCACUUGGUGACCUGAAAAAAAACGAACUGGAGAAAAAGAACUUAACAGAAAGGGCCUUGAAUCCAAAAUCAAAUCGAAUCGAAGGUUUUGAAAAAGGAGAAAUAGAGGGGCGACUUAAAAGGGUUGACAGUUGGAGACAACCCUUGACGACGAUUUGAUGGCGAUGAAAGCUCACGGCGGCUAGGGUUUCAAAACAAAAGAGAAGGCUCCUUCUCUUGGUUAGCUUUGCAGAAGGUUCAGUUUGACAGAGAAGUGAAAGAUUUUGUUCAUUUUUAUUUACUUCACAUUAUGUUUUACCUCGUUAUGAUAAUAUAAAUAACUAAAAUAUAAUCUGAAUUAAACAAAAAUAAUUAUUUUUAAAUUUACCCUUUAAUUUAUCUUCAUUUAAGUGAAUAAAACGAUAGAAAGGGAAAAGACCAAGAUUUUAGAAGGUUCAAGAGCAGCCCAAAUCUUGUAGUUUCU